GAAUCUCUAGUUUAGCAACCUUGCUCCAUGCUUCUCUUUUCUGUGCGACCAACACCCUCCCACCUUCAGUCCAGUGGUAUUUCUGGCAGACACCCGCCCCUGUUCUUUCUCUGUUCUGAACUCUGAUGCACACGCUCAACCUCCUCUGUUCUUUUCUCCAUGCAACAGCCAUGAUAUUGGCUCAAGGAUUGCCUCAGAGUGCUGCUUCCUCAACCUCCCAUUGUGCUCUGCUGAAAAGCCUAUGGGUGAAAACGUUGACAUUGCAUGGCAAUAGAAUAGCUUUAAAAAUAUCAAUGAUAAUUUAGUGUGACGUAUGGAUUUUUAGAUUUAUUUUUUCUUUCUAGUUUGAAUUCUGUUCCAUCUUUAUUGUCUCUUAACCGAAUUCAAUUUUGUUCUAUUUUCUUGUUAUUUGCUAUUUGUAUCUUUCAUUUAAGGCCUAUGAUCUUUUUUCCCCUCAUGUUUCUUUUGAUUUGAAUUUUGCACUUAUUUCUUUUAUUCUAGGGGAUGAUUGAUGCUUAUUUCUUAUGACAUUGCCUUCUGUUGUCCUUCUGGCAAUUUUAUGGCUAGAGUUAUUAUGUUUAACUAUUUUUCUUGGAUAUCUGUUUUACAUGUUUGUGUUGAAUUGUCUCGUUCAUUUUAUGCAGAUUCAUUUUCAAAACCUGUAUCUGGUUCUGAUGAACCCCAGCAGGGUGGUUGGUUUCAGACUUUUACAAUUGCUGCUUACAAACCAUACUUUGAUGUUGACACUUCAGAUGUUCUGGAGAGGAUUAUCGACUCACUAUUUCCAUUUAGAGGAUCUUUCAAUGAAAAAACUGCUACCAACCCUGAUUUGUGAGUAACUUUGUCUUUUGCUCAUUUCAUUGACUGAGGAUACUACCAACAUUUGGUUCUGAUUUCUUACAUUUUCAAAUUAUGAAAUGCAUGUUUAUAAUUUUUAUGAAGAAAAGGUGUAUUUAAAUUGCUGUGACCAGUUUUAAUAUGUCAAUAUCUUCUAAACUAAAGUCAUGUAUUUAGUUAUCUGUUUGUUUUGUUUCAUUUCUUAUGUAAGUUUAUGGAAAUAUCUUCUGUUACUAGUUAAAUACUAGUGUCUGGAUAAGAUGAUGCUCACCAUUAUUUAUUCUUGGAGAACAAAUACUUUUAUAAUUUUUCCAUAAAAAGGAGUGAAUUUUAUGCAUGUAAUUUUGAGUUCAUAUAAAUAUAUGUAGGUAUGGUCCAUUCUGGAUUUGCACUACCUUAAUAUUUGUUGCGGCAUCUAUUGGCACCUUUGUGACAUAUGUAGCACACAAGCUGAAGAGCAAGGAAUGGGAUUAUGACAUUAAUCUGGUGACUUGGUCUGCUGGUUUGUUUUAUGGAUAUGUUACCAUUGUUCCCCUUUGCCUGUAUGUAAUCCUCAAAUACUUCUCUGCACCGGCUGGCCUUGUGCAACUAUUCUGUCUGUAUGGGUAUUCCCUGUUUGUCUUUAUUCCGGCCCUGGUAAGUUAAUGGUCUUCAUCGUACUACCUUUUAUUUUAAGGAAGUAUGAAAUUUGACAUUUGCUUUGUAUUGUAUUCUCAAAAGUCAAACCCUUUAUUUGAUGCAGUGUAUGUCCGUUGUGCCACUGGAUAUAUUUAGAUGGGUGGUUGCAGGUGUGGCAGGGUUCAUGUCAGCAACAUUUGUGGCACUGAACCUCCGGGCACAUAUCAAAUCAGCAGGUGAAAGGUGGUUCUUGAUUGUUGCUGGCAUUUUUCUGUUGCAGCUGGCUCUAGCUGUUGUACUAAAGAUUUACCUCUUCACAGUAUCAGUUUAAGAGGAAACUGGACAGUAUGAAUGAAAUAUAUACAGAACGAAAGUAUAGCUUUUUGGCAUUGUAGAUUUUCAUGGAUACAAUUUGUAGCUGAAGCAUGAUUCACAGAUUUGACCAUCGUAUAUUCAUUCUUUUGUUGCAAUAUAGAGGUGAAUAACUUGUGAUCAUCAUAAAAGCACUUGUCUUCGAUGUUGUUAAUGCAAGUUAUAAUGCAGGCUUCCGUGAUUCUUUUGUUACAUUUGUAAAUUAAAGCUUUUAUGAUUAAUUAUUGGGGCUGAGUUUUGAAUGUGUUUUUACUACUCGAAGUUCGGACUCCCUGUAUGGCCAUUGCUAACGUUGAAUUGCAUGUUUGGGUACUGCAAAUACAUGUUCGUUUUAGAUAAGGAAUUACGUGAGAACUGUGUUGCUCACGCUAGAAUGAAUGAAGUUGGGUUUCAAGGAGCUAAUGUACUACUUUUAGGACGGAUUGGGUUAAGUUGGGCUGAGCUGAAUACGAACAUAACUGUGAAAAAUAAUAGGGGAACUGCUUGGGGCACCCAGCAUUUUUGCUGGUACAUCCAAUAGGGGAACUGCUUGGGGCACCCAGCAUUUUUGCUGGUACAUCCAGUAGUUUUCCAAAAUACCGAAAAUGUUCUUAUGGGUAUUUUUGGUUACAAAUAGCAUGUUAGUUUUUUUUUGUAGCAUCUUUUUUUUCCCGUAAAAUCACACUCCCUCAGUGUAACUUGUUUCCGUUAGCGUCCUUUUAUGAGUGUUUGUUGUCGUGACGUUCGUUGUUUAUAGAUAUACGAUGAAGUUCAAUGGUUUUUCGUCGUCGAAGAAAAAAUGUGUAUUAAAAAAAUUCAAAACAUACGGAUUGACAAUCCGUAUGUUUUGAAUUUUUUUUUAAUUAUAAUUUUUAUACAUUAUUUUAUUUACAAAAUUUGAUAAAUAAAAAAAUUUGAUAUUUAACUGGAUGUUGUAUUUAGAUGUUUAUUAUAAUAAUUAAUAAUUAAAUAAAUUUGAUAUUUAAUUGAAUGAUGUAUUUGAAUGUUUAUUAUUAUGAUUGAAAAUUAAAUAAAUAUGAUAUUUAAUUGAAUGAUGUAUUUAGAUGUUUAUUACAACAAUUGAUAAUUAAAUAAAUUUAGUAUUUUUUUACAUAUGUAAAUUUGUAUUAAAUCUAUGAUUUUUAUUUACAAUUUAUAUAUGUAAACAAAUUAAUUAUUAGAUAAAAAUUUAUUAUCAUAAAAUUUAUUAUGUAAAUUGGUCUAUUAGCUCAGUUGAUUAGAGCGUUGUGAUAAUAAUGUGAAAGUCAAAGGUUUGAUUUCUACUUGGACCAAUUUGAUUCCUGUUUGGACCAUUAAUUUCAAAAUUAUAUUUUUGAAAAAAAAAAUCCUAUGAGCCCCUUACGGAUUAACAAUCCGUAAGCCCAAUACAGGAUGUUAAAGCCUCAUCCGUAUUGGACUUACAAAAGGGCAAAACCGACAUUUUGCAUGUUAUGCUGGUAUACCGAUAAAAAUGUUGGGUGCCCUUAGCAUUUCUCAAAUAAUAGUUGUAGAUUGUGACCUCAACCAAAAUGUAAUUGAACGAGGCUUCUCCCGUUUGAUGUGGAAAUGCAUUUGUUGAAAAAUAUUAAUUUGUUAGAAAUAAGUUCUAUAAAUAGAGUCCUUACACAUUACUAUUGUAUAUUUUAUUCAAUCAAUUACACUUGCAUUUUUUUCUCAAAGUUCUGAUAGUAAUGCCUUCACUGCAUAUUUGCAAAUAACCAUUCAGUUUUUGGAUUUUUGAAUAAUCCACCGACAUUAGUGCAAAAAGUUUAAAAUGAAAGUUGAUUAAAUUUGAACUAUGUAAUUAUGCUUGACAAAUUGUCAACUUUACAACUGCUUGGACAAGAUGUGGCCCUGAAGAAAAAUCAAACCGGAAUCUACCAACACACGAGUGUAAAUGACUUAACAUGAAAGUAGAUUAAAUUAACACUAUAAUUAUGCUUGGCUCAUUGUCAACUUUGGCACUGCUUGGCAUGAUUUCGCGCUGAAAAUAGUCUAAAUACAGGGAAUAAGAUAUUAGGCAGAAAAUAGACAACGGAAAUGCUCCGCGUCAAUACGAACCACGCGAUGACUUUUUUUGUUUGCGUCAAUAAUUUUCUGAGGCAAUAAUCAUAGUUAAAAAUGCAAAAUUUGACCUCAAUAGCACACCAUAACCUUGCCAACAGAAUUUGACCCCAAUACUAUAGCACUAAGGCGACCAUUAGGUUUUACCCCAAUAGCAAUUGGUAAUAAAAGUCAACACGAUAUCAUACAAGUCUUUGCUUAGUGUUUACACCAAACUUUUGGUAAUUACUAUGACCUAAUUUUAUUUUCGGCCGGUGCCAACUAAAGUUAGAGACGAGAAACAGUGCUUUUCCCUUGAGAACUUUGAUGACUAAUAGAAAACGACCAAAACACACAGGUUUUGAAGUGAUAAAUUAAUUGGAAUGAAGCUCGUGUGCACAACUUACAAGUCACUUGAUCAACUUAAAAAAUGACAAAUUUUUGACACAACUACAAGUGCUAAGGUUGAAAAAGACGAAUCCCAAAAGUUUAAAGAAAAGAGGUUACAGAAUAUAAAAGCUGCCACAAACGAGUCCAAAGAAAAAAAAAAAACAUUAUUCAAUACAUUACUCUAGAAACAUUAAGCCAAAGAAGACACGAUCUAAAGGAUGCCUUUUACAGUUUACUGAAAUCCCUUAUACCUUAACUGGCAAAUAACUCAGUUUUAUGAGACAUUUGUAGUGUGAAAUAUAUGAAGACAACCAUAGGAAAAAGAAACAAGAAGUCACUCUAAUCCUAGAAAAAAGCAUAUUGACCGGCCAUGAAGACAUUGAUGAAGCACAUUUUGGACUUUAAAGGUGAAUAAAUGACAAAAUAAAAUAAACUAAUCGAAGAGUCAAGUCCUGAUCCUUAAAUUGGGGUUGUAUGAUUGACAAAGGUUAGAGUGAUUUUGGAAGUAUAAGGGGUUCAUUAAUUGACUUGAAACGAAUAUCCUUGGCCAUAAAUGUUUGAUAAUUGAUAAAGGAAUGGUUGGUUGGUAUCCAUUCCAGUAGACAACAGUGUACAUAUUUCACCAUCAAUGCACAAACUCUCCAAGUUCUGAUUUCUGAAACGUCCUUAUAUUAUAUGUCGGGUCAGGUUUAAUUGCAUGGACACUGCACUAUGUAGUACAACACAUCAAAAGAUGGUCAAAAAUUAUUAUUAAUAUGACUUGAUCGAUAGUGGAACUAAUAUUACUAAUUAACUGAAACACGAGCUUGACCAUUUGUUCCCUACAGUUCCCUGGUCCCUUUCUUUACUAUUGAAUAAUGCUAUGUUUUACACAUGGGGGGUAAUAACUAUAUCUCGAUUUCAAACUCUGCAUACUAAAUGAGUCACAAGCCAUAACGCAUAAGCCAUAUCUCCUUUUCCCUUCUCUUUGAUUAUCUUUCUUUUAAAUUCCUGUUUGGUUCAAAUAUAGAAACCAGAAGAGGAUUAGUAAUAAUCAUUGACAAUUGUAGUGAAGUGAUGUCAAUUUCAAGGUCUCAAGUGGGGUGUCUAUUGCUGAUACUACUAAGUAUUUCGGUUUUGAACCAUCAAGUAUUGGGUGCUCGGUAUGUAAAAGAAGAAGUGGAACAUUUGCUCAACAAGUCUGCAGUAUGGAGGAAAAGCUUUACCAAUGAAACAAAGGGAGACUUUUAUGGUACGGUUAAUAGAGUAGUGCCUUCCUCUCCUGACCCCUUGCACAACAGGUAGGUGGCUCUUCUAGCCCGUGUAACCUUCUGUCGUUACAAGGAUAAAUUAUUGUAUGGUGUGAGAUUAUAUAUGUUUUCUGCUAAUCAAAUUUUUCAAUUUACAAAAAAAAUAAAAAAAAAAGAGUUAACGACAUGUUAUAUGGAGAUUCACGGACACCACAUGAGACCACUUACAAGAUUAGCUGCUUCUUGUGGGGCGGGUAACAAUUUUGUUUUUGACAAAUAGGUAUUAUUGUCUUUUCAUAUUAUUUCAAGUGUUAAAGCAUACACAUAAUCUGUUUGUCAUUAGUAUUUUUUCAAUAAUCAAUCACUACUAAAGGAUUGUAUUUGUAUCCUUUUAUUUAUUUUUGUCGAGUGUUAAAGAGGUGUAUCCUUUAUGCAGCAAAGAUAUAGUCCUAUAGAGAAGGUUGUUCAGGUUAUCUGGUCCAGAGGUUGAAGCUUGGGUUAUAUUUAUAUUUUGCAGCGUUUAAAAGGUUAAUUAUGAUGAUGACUUGCGUGUUUUUCUCGACAAACUACAUGGAUUGGGUGUUAAGGACUGAUCACUAAUUAGGCCGUGUAAUGCGCAAGAAUAAAACUCGUUUGCAGAUUGCAAUAAAGAUCUGGCUUCCCAGCUUUAAUUUAAGGGUAAUGGACUAAAUUUUACUCAUAUUCAGCUUGGAGAAGGAAAUAAUGGACUAAAUUUUCAUCAGAAACACUUUCAUGCAGUCAAAAUUAAAGGAUAUACUUUAAAUAAUAAAAAUAUAAAAAGAACAAACAAAUAUAUACACUCUUCAGCUCUAUUAAAAUAAGUAUAAAGAAAAUUUGUUACUAAAAGUGUGCGAGAAUUUAUUCCCUUAAAUAUCAACUAGUGCGACAUAAUUUUCAUUCUUAACCAUUCUUUCUAAAACAUGCUUCUCACUUAUGAUGAUCUAAGUCAAGUAAGUUUGUAGCUUACUAUUUAGAUAAUUGGACAGCCGGAAUGGACUACAGUACCUGUUCUUGUCACAUAAGAUCUAAGUCAUCACGAAUUUUUAUCUCUUCCUUUUUUAUAAAAAAAUUCCUUUAACCUGACAUUGGCCUAAAAUAAGAUGUACACUGAUCAUUUGAGAAAUUAGAGAAGAGUGAGAUAAAUAACAAAUUUAAUAGCACACAGAUUAACUCCUAAUUAAGUUCACUUCGCACUACAUUUAUACAAGAGAAGGAAUGAAACGAAAGUGUCCGCACUCCACACAAUGAAGCUAUUAGAAGAAAGACAUAAGCACUCAAUCAAGGUAGUUGAUGAGCACAAGCAGCAAAACAAAGAGCAAGAACUCCACAGAAGCAGCAUUAGCACGAACAGAAGUUGCAGCAGCAGAGAAACUUCCAGUGGUAGUGUUGGUGGUCAGAACAAGAACCAUCCAAUCAUCCUCAGAACCAAGCCCUGCCCCUGUGUACUUGGAAUUGUUGAGAAACUGUGCGUAGCUACCAGAAUGAGUGUAAUUGGAGAGCACAAUGGUUGGUUCCAAUUUGGAGACACAAACGGGAAGAAUGACUCCAUCUGUAGUGCUGUUGAAGUUAAUGUCACAUUUAUCUAUAUGCUUCUGCAAGUUUGGGAUUUUGAGGUUCCCACUUCCAGGAACAGAUGAAGGGUAGUAUUGAUUCACGUUUUCACAGGGCAUGUUAUCUAUUUCUUCUGCAACCUCAUCAGCCAAACAUGUUGCCUUUGAAACUUGGUUCAGGGGUGCCAGGUUCCGUGUCUGCCUGUAGCUGUUGAUUCCCUUGAAUACACUGUCCUCCUUAUCUAAUCAAAACAACCCGUGUAUAUAUAAGAUCCUUACAUUAUAUAAUAAGGGUUAAUGAUGUUUUUGUUCCAUAAAUUUGACAAUUUUUGGUUUUUUGUUCCAUGUCCAUGGUUUUUGGUUAGAAAGUGCAGAACAAAAAGUGAAGAGUUUUAAAAGUUAAAAGGCAAAAACCAACAAUUAACAAUUUUAAAAGAACCAAAAACACCAUUAAUUUCCUCUAUGCUCCUAAUUCUCUUAAUUAUAAGAUUAUUUACAGAAAUUUAUUUAUCCUUUUUAUAAGAUUAUUUUUUAAUUUUUAAAUAUAUUUUUUCUCUGUCCUUACUUAAUUAUUCUUUCUCCAAAUAUUCAUAAUAAAUAACUAAGUGGAUAGAGAAAUAAGAAAAAAAAUGUAAUUUUGAAAUAAGCCCAUUUUUAUGUGAUUAACUAAAUUAACUGUUUUUCUUUAAAAAAAAGUGAAUUAAUUUAAGGAGUCUUAUAAUUAGUAAGGUGAAAAAGUGAAUUAGUUUAAAGAGUGUUAUAAUUAGUAAGGUGGAAAGAAUAAUUUAGGAAAACUAGUACGGACCCCAAAGCAAAUUAAUUGCAUUUGUUAUACAAUGAACCGACAAUGUCAAUGGACUAUAUAUGUAAUAUGAGAUCCACGGAAGAGUUUCAUCAAGCGCAAAUCACAAGUUUAUAAGUAUGAAGGGAUUACAACAAAGAAAACAUACUAUAUAUAUAAUGGAAAUAGAUUGAAUGGUCAUUGUUCAUGCGUGCGUAAAUUUGUAGAGUGCAUGGGGUCUAGAUUGGGUGUAAAUUUAAGACCAACAUGAACCUAGCCUAGUUGAAAUAGAUGAUAUUGCACGAAAUAUGCAUGGAAAUCAAAUCCCUUAAGCUAUGUAUUCAUGCAGUUUGAUUAAAUUUUUCACUAAUAUACUUCAAAAGAGAUACAGAAUAUGGAAAGAAAUCAAAGAAUUAAACAGAUGAGAUGAGAGUACAUAUGUGAGGGAAGGAGAUGUGCAGAUAGAGAAAGUACCACUACACAGCACUGGAUUAGAAAAGACUAGGAAAGCACAGAAGAGUGCAAGAAGGAAGAUGCAAAGUUUGAAAACGUCCACCAUGGUGAGAUUGAAUCUCAAAGGAAAACACCCAUUGAUGAAUUAAACUCUGAAUUAAGAGAUGGAAGAGUAGCAAGAAUUGGUGCCUAAAGUAGUAACAGGUUUCAAGUGCUUGAUCUUCCACGUGGCGGACAUGCAAGGUCACAACUUAAUCCGUGAUCUGGUUCGCUCUCAUUAAACUAAUCAACUGCUUAUCAGUUAAUUAGUUCUGAUAAUAUUAAUCAAAUGCAUACAGCUGUACCGAGCAAAAUCCAGAGUCCAAACCACCUAUUUCUUUGUUCUUGUUCUUCAUACUUAGAUCAAACACAAGUUAAUGAAUUUAAUUAUAAUGUAUUAUAGUGUAACGAUAUUUUACUUUUUCAUCCAAUUAUAAGUUGAUAUAUGAUAAGAUGAUUUUUUAAAAAUAAUUAUUUUAAAAGUGAUAUCCAUUAGAUAGAUUUAAAUUAGUUAUAUGAUUAUAAAAAUUUUAUUAUUAUUAUGCAAAAUUUAGGUGGAUUUAAUUUUAAAACUUUUUUAUUAUUAUUAUGUAAAUACUUAUAAAUAUAUUUAUAUAUUAUCUAUCAAUAAUUUUUUUUUAUAUUGAUAAUGAAAAUCAAACACAUUUAUAUAUUCUCAUCAACUAAAUCAAUGUUUGUCCACGUAAUAUUAACUCUAAAUUGAUUAAUUAAUUCAUAUACAAUAAUAUACCAAACUUAAUUAAUUCCCUUAUUUUCAAUUUCAUCUCUGUGAUGGAUGGAGCCUUCUACUUUUCUGUAUGAAUCUUACGGUUUGUGACACGAUGACACGUCAAUUAUAACGAGUUCGAUUCAGUUUGUGACUUUGAUCCAAAGGAGAUUUCUAAAAUUCUCUCCGGUGCAAGAAAUCGACACAACACGUCAAGACAUCCUUCUGCCAAUUCUCGCCGGCUGCGUCACCCGCGCUAUAAUCAAUUAUUGGAACAACAUUAUUAUCCGUCCGUUUUCCAUCUCCAUCAACACCACAUGUACUCUUAUCAUGCUAUGUUUGUUUGAAGAACAAAAAGUAUAUAUAUAUAUAUAUAUAUAUAUAUAUAUAUAUAUAUAUAUAUAUAUAUAUAUAUAUAUAUAUAUAUAUAUAUAUAUAUAUAUAUAUACAUAUAUGAAAUUUGUUAACAUACAUACCAUUAUUUUUUUAUGAGUGUGUUAAACAUUCAUACUAAAAAAUAAUGAUGUGUAGGUUAGUAAAUAUUAAUAAAAUUUUUUGUUAAUGUAUAUAUAUUUUUUUUUAUUAUGAGUGUAUUAAUAAAUUAUAACUAGAAAAUAUUUUAAAAAUUAAAAUAUAUAAAUAAUGUAAUUUGUGAAUGGACUCAUAUUAAAAACAUCAGUAUAUACGCUAAUAAAUCUAUAGUGAAAGAGAAAGUAAAAAAAAAAUCAUUUAUAACGUAAAUAUGUUAUAUAAAAAAAUUGAUAUAGUUGAUCCUAUUAAUCCAAGUCUAGUUUGGUCUUUUAGGUUGCGCCUGGACCCAUCUGGACUCCGUUAAUAGUAGCAACAAUGUACGAGGAAACAAUUGUUCGAUUUGGUUCAGAUGUGCCAACGAAGAGAGCUGGCCAAACUAUUGAAGUUGCUCCCUCUUACGUGUUUCUUGCUAGCAACAUAUGCUCCUCUUACAUAACGGGCCAAGUCCUCCACCCCAACGGCAAUUUACAUACAUAUACUAUAUUACACCACAAUCACACGUUUGUUCCUUGUUGGGGUUUUCUUUUCAUUUUUUUUUUCUUUUCUUUCAGGUGGAAUCAUUGUAAACACUUGAUGAAUGAUAAAUGAUACUCGAGAUUGGUGUGAAUAAAUAUAUAUAUAUAUAUAUAUAUAUAUAUAUAUAUAUAUAUAUAUAUAUAUAUGUGUGUGUGUGUGUGUGUGUAAUGAAACAAUUGAAACCAUCACAUAAGUUUCAAUUGCCACAAAUUACAGUGGCUAGAAAUUACUUAAGAACCAUAAUCAUUAUCUGACUACUAUUUGUUCUUGACUAUCGUUUCAUUAAGCACCUAAUACUUGAAUUUCUUUAUGUUUUGUUUUGGAAUUAAAAGUCAGAUUCCUUACAAUGUGUAAGGCCACUUUAUAUUCUCCAAUUUCUUUCAGGAUUGAAUAAGAAAAUGCUUAAAUUGAUUCAAAAAUAGAAAAGGAAAACUAACAGAUUGAUACACAAGAUGUAAAAAGGGAAGCAUAUGUUUUUAUGCUGAUUAUUUGAGGAUCUGAUGCUGCGAUUAUUGAUGUUAGUCCUUGGAAAAAUAAUAGUAAAAGAAAAUCAAGAUGACACCCCAAAGUUAAUUUCAACACCUCCCCCGCCAAUUCCGGCAAUGAAACAUUGGAACCCGCAUGACUCCAGUUCAGCAACUACUUUGUCAACAACGGUGCCUGAUAGCACUGAUUAAAGCUAGUCAAGGAAGGGAUACAAGAAACUGAGAUUAAACAGUGUAUUAAAGAUACUUAAAAGCUAUAAAAUCAUGAUGGGAGGAGUAGGGAAAAAGUUUUGGUUUCUAUUAUUAUAAAGACAAUAAGUUAUCCAUCACCAGAAAAUUGUCUUUUAAUUACAUAGAGUAUCUAGAGAAAGAAAAUUUGUGAUAUUUGAAGUAGAUUGACAUUGCGGGGAGCAAAAGUGAGUCAGAUUGAUAAAACAGAAGAAUGCGUAGAGUGUCCUCCAAAAAAUAAGUGUCCAAAAAAUAGAUGAAUGCGUAGUGUUCCUAUAUCUUAACAAACACUUACAAGAUAUAAAAAUAAAACAAAUCAAGAAGUUUCCUCGUUUAACUUUCAACUAGCACUUAUGCACCUCAUGCACUUAUUGAUAGAUUUCUGAAUAAAUAGUUACGAUCCUUAACUUUUUUAGAAGCCUCCCCAUUUAACCUCUCCAUAAGUUCUCUCAUCACCUAAUUCAAAUUUAUGAGCUCCCUCUUUCAAUUGAAAAACUCCUAUUAUAAGCUAAAAGUUAAUCCAAAUUAGGCCUAUUUAGGGUUUUAUUUUGCCUUGUGUAUAGAUACACAAACUGCAUGCAUAUUUAACCAGGUAGCACAUAAAUAUCAUAACAUCCAGGAAAACCCUUUUAGCAGAAAGUAUCAUGGUGUUUUUUUUUUUUGGAGGGGAAUGAAAUUGAGGGCAGGGGAAAUAAGGAGGUAAAAACCCCUACCCUAAUAUUUUUAUCUCACCUCAAUAUUUAGAGGAUUUGAAGGAGAGGGAAAAUGCUUGAAGUUUGUAAAAUGUACUGAUUAAGUUAUCAUUAGUCUGAAUACUUAAACUUAAUGGUUUUUAUUUGUAGAUGGUAAGACUAUGAUAGUAUAGAACUUUAUUUUCCCUCACCUCCCAUGCAAACCAAACAAAAAAGAAGAAAACCAGAGAUGUAAUGGAACAUUAGAAGCACAAGGAAGAGAACAAUAAGUGAAGAGGAUACAUGUUGGAAGCAGUGUCAGAACACAACCCCCACCACCAGCUCCUGUCAAUUUGGAGGCUAACUUAUACUUCAAUGUUGUUUGAAGAACAGUUUGUAUUGUAGCAUGACUGACCCCCAUAGACUGGAGCAGACCUUCAUUCAUCUCCAUUAGUUCUUCUAUCUUCUGUUCUUUCUCAGUUACAGAGAGCUCAUCUGGUGUAGGUGACUUGAGAAUGGAAGUCAAUUCAUUGCUAAGAGAAUCAACAGCACUAAACACAAAAGCCAUUAUAUCUGGAUGCCUUAGCAUCCUCUCUCCAACACCAGCCACCAAUGCUUUUGUGUUCCUCCCUACUUUGGUGUUAGUAAUGAGCAUUUUAAGUGGCACACUUGACUUCAUAUGCGUCAAGCUACCCAACUUGAAGCUGAUAAUGUUACCUGAUAACGGUGGUAACUAUAGAGUGAGUUGCAGAUUCAAUGACAGUAACUUACAUAUGUAAACAAAGUACACGAUGAUUAAACAUUCAAAACAAAUCACAAUUUUAACAUGAUAUAUCUCCCACCAAACACUAUUGUAUAUUUCUCAAUUAACUUGCACAAACCAGUAGGUCAUGACAUUAAAUUAUUCCUCCAAGGGCCACAUUGAUUAUAAUUAAUACUGGGUGAGACUAUUAACAGACCAAGUAAAAGAGAAAUACAGCUUGUUUCGAUAGCUUUCCUUAACAACCAAUAAAAAAAAAAAAUAUAUCCAUCCUCUCCAAACCCUCCUAUUACACAAAGAGACAAGAACCCACCAAUUAUAUUCCAUUUGAAUCUAGCCAUAUAAAAAGAUUAAAAUUGUAAUCAUCAGUAACAAGAAAAAAGCAGAAAGACAUGUUCCAUAUAAUAUAAAACGGCAGUGGCGUACCGUAUGCGCUUACUGUGUUGUCAAUCCCAGAGGGCUUUCCAUGAAUGAUCUUCUCUCCUUCAAAAGCCCAUUGAUUUACCAACUCAAGAUCUUUCUCCCCAAAUGAGAGCCAUCCUUGAUGGUUGACAUGGAAAGAGACAGAGUCAGUAUAAGCCAACAAGGCUGCCGCCAGCGCCACGCAAAACGACGCCGACGAACCCAAUCCUGAACCCAGAGGAAGUUCAGAAGUGACAAGCACAGUAGCAGGCUUAAAGCUACACAAAGAGCCAAACAGAAUACAUGAAUAAAACACAGAGAGAGAAAAGGAUUUGAAUUCUGAAAUAGAAGAAAAAAUGGAUAGAGAUUUGGGACCCUUGAAUGGAAGAGUACAGCCAGAGAAAGGCGGAAACACCAGAGGCGAGUCCAAAAUUGGCCUCUGGAAUAUUAAGGUCUUGAACGAGUGCGGCAAUUGCCUUGGCAUUCUCGACAGAGCAUGAGGUUGGCGUGGAAGAUAGCUGAGGAAAGGAUGCUCUUAUUCUGGUGAUUGGCCACGAGAACUCCAAAGCCGUCUCCUUCAGCUGCAGUUUCAACGAAUCUUGGUCGUCUAUUACACAAAUGAAUCCUAAUCGAAUCAGAAUAUGAACCUCACGCAAUUCAUGAAAAUGCAUUUGGCAUACCUGAAGGAGUGGAGAAGCGGAGAGAAACGUAGGUGUAUAAGUCAAUGGAAGAGGCAACAGCGGUGGAUCCAUGAACCACAGCAUGUUCGCCGCUCAAGAUAAUUUUCCCCGGAGCUCUGGAUUUAACCUCCAUUCUAUUAUCUCAAUUCAUUGCUUCUUUCUUCUUUCUCCGCACACUUUUCAGCAUUCAACCAAUUCUUGCCCUCAUGGUUGGAGAACUCCAGGGAAUGAGGCAAUGGGCUCAGUAAUCAUUUUACAAAACGGCUAUAUUAGUCAUUUUAUAUUUGAAAUUUAUUUUCAAUUAAAAAAAUUAACUACGGUACCCACUUUUUAUUUGCACAUGGAAAAAUAAAUGUACAAAACAAAUCUAACAUCAUUAUAAUUUAUAUAAAUAAUAAAGAUCAAUUUAUAAACUUUUUUCACAAAAACAUUGAGUUUUUCUACGCGAAGGGAUGCGAGGAUAAGACUUCGUAUAUCUAUCCUACUCAAAUGCCACUGUGAACAUCAAAAUAGUACAACAAAUUAAUGUUGAUGUUAUCCCUUUAAUUUUUGGAGUGUGUUUUUUAGAUGAGUGCAUACCAUAAAAACAUAAAAAUUAAGACAAAAAAUAGUUAUAUAUAAUGUCCUAUGCACUGUCAAUCUAUUUGUGUUUAAAUAAUGAAACUGAUAUUAGUAACAUCGUCCUCGUGGAUAUAAUAGAGAGAUGAUAGCAAGCAAUAAAAUAUAAGGCCUAGGUAAAUGAGAUUGUCAUUAACCAAAUAAUUGAGGAUGAUACAUCAAAACACCAUUCUCUCUCUGUUAGCAAGAUGCAAAAGUAUGAGGGAAUUGAAAAAAAUUGCGUGGGCUAAUAGUCACAACCCCAACUAUUAAAAGCAUAUUAGUAUGAGGGAAUUGAAAAAAAAUGCAUGGGCUACCCUUGAGCAAGCUUAUUGACUUCUGUGUAGAUUCAUAAUUUGGGGACAUCAAUAAUGCAGACUUAGUAUUUCGCCAAAUUGAUGCCCCUAGCGUUUACAUUUGGAACUCCAUGAUACGAGGUUUUGUUAACAAUCACAAUCCAAGAAUGUCUAUGCUUCUGUAUAGACAAUUGAUAGAAAAUGGGUAUUCCCCAGAUCAUUUUACUUUCCCAUUUGUACUCAAAGCAUGUUUGUGCAAUUGCUGAUCAAGAUUGUGGAAAAUGCAUUCAUUGCUGCAUAGUGAAAUCUGGGUUUGAAGCUGAUGCCUAUACUGCUACUGGGUUACUGCAUAUGUAUGUGUCAUGUGCAGAUAUGAAGUCAGGACUCAAAGUGUUUGAUAAUAUUCCCAUUUGGAAUGUGGUUGCUUGGACUUGCUUGAUUGCUGGGUAUGUGAACAAUAAUCAACCAUAUGAAGCUUUGAAGGUGUUUAAAGACAUGAGCCAUUGUGGUGUAGAACCCAAUGAAAUCACCAUGGUGAAUGCUUUAAUACCUGCGCUCGUAGUAGAGACUUUGAUACUGGACAAUGGGUGCACCAGCACAUUCGUAAGGCUGGUUAUGAUCCCUUCAUGUCCACAUCUAAUAGUAACAUCAUUCUUGCAACUGCAAUUCUUGAAAUGUAUGCCAAAUGUGGCAGCUUCAAGAUAGCAAGAGACCUGUUCAACAAAAUGCCUCAGAGAAACAUUGUUUCUUGGAACAGUAUGAUUAAUGCAUACAAUCAAUAUGAGAGACAUAAGGAGGCACUAGAUCUCUUUUUUGAUAUGUGGACUAGUGGCAUUUAUCCUGAUAAGGCUACCUUUCUGAGUGUGUUGAGUGUUUGUGCCCAUUUGUGUGCUCUGGCAUUGGGACAAACUGUUCAUGCUUAUCUGUAGAAAACCGGCAUUGGGACAGACAUUUCCCUUGCAACUGCUCUUCUUGACAUGUAUGCCAAGACAGGUGGGUUAGGAAGUGCACAGAAGAUUUUUAGCAGUUUGCAAAAAAGGGAUGUGGUGAUGUGGACUAGCAUGAUCAAUGGUUUAGCCAUGCAUGGUGAUGGAAAUGAAGCAUUGGGUAUGUUUCAAACCAUGCACGAGGAUAGUUCUCUAGUCCCUGAUCAUAUUACCUACAUUGGAGUUUUAUUCGCAUGUAGUCAUGUUGGACUGGUUGAAGAGGCUAAAAAACAUUUUAGGCUAAUGACAGAGAUGUACAGUAUAGUGCCAGGAAGAGAGCAUUAUGGUUGCAUGGUUGAUCUUUUGAGUCGAUCUGGUCAUUUCGGAGAAGCAGAAAGAUUAAUGGAGACAAUGGCCAUACAACCAAAUAUUUCCAUCUAAGGUAUAUAUCAGUCAAUUAGUAUAAAUGUCAUACCAUAAUGCGUGUCUUUAUUUAUGUUAUGUAUCUAUAUAGAUAUAUAUUAAUUUGUCUUCUAUUUAUCACAUGUUUAUAUGAUAAAUAGAAGAUAAAUUUAGAUUAAUGUAUUUUCACUCACCAAUACAUCUGUAUUCUUACUAUACUCAAAUAGUUUCCAUUAUGAGUAUUAAACCAAUAUCAAUUUAUACAAGCUAAAUCUUUUAAUCGAUAUUUUGGUCCAAGAAAAUUUUUGAAAUUCAUUAGUUUUUUUAUCUUUCUCAAAAUAUUUUCAUCUUUUAGUCAAAAGUGGAAAACAAUUUUGAACUUUAUUUUGAUUAUAAAAUAUUGUGCUCUUUUAUAUGGCUGCCAGAUUCAUGAAAACUUGUGUUGCUAAUCAAGUGAAAGAACGACUAACAGAACUGGAAUCUUGUCAAAGUGGAGCCCACGUUCUUCUAUCUAAUAUAUAUGCAAAGGCUGGCAGGUGGGAAGAUGUAAAUGGGACUAGAAAAGUUAUGAAGCAUAAGAGGAUUACAAAGAUAAUCGGUCAUAGUUCAGUUGAAAUGAUGCUGUUAAGCUAAUGGUCACAACAACAUUGGUUUGUUGUCUCAAAUGAUGUAAGUAUUGAUUCUUGGAUUAACUGCAAUUGGAAAGGAGUCCGAAAGGCAAACAAAGAACUUAUGCUUUGUCCACGGGGGCAUUUCUCCAAAUCCUUUCAGCUGCCUUCUCAGUUGGUACCCCGUCUAUUUUCUGGUGAUUUUGGCACUGAUAAAGAAUAGUCAUGAAAGGGAGACAUACACGAUGGCAAAGUUUUUUCUGAUUAGGAUCCUUCCUUUUCUUCCACCAGUGAAGUUUAUAUAAAUUGAUCCAAAUUUAUGCAAUGUCAAAUAGAUGAGAUUCAGAAUUAAGAGCGGUAAAAUUUUGUUUAGUGUCUAUUUCUUUUUUCACUCAAUGAUAUACUACUAACAUACACGCUCUGUACCAUGGUGUGAUUAUUGACCAAGAUUAACCUGGCUUGAGCUAACUGAACCAGCUACUACAACUUUUUCCAUUUUUGGUGGUGACCUAACCUUGGUUGUCUAUUUCCAGCUAACCAUGCGUGGUUCACCAUCAUGUUGGGAGCACCACAUACUUGCAAUUAUCAUUAUUUCCUCGAUUGAGUGGCCCCUUUCCGCUUUUUCAGUGCCGUUAUCUUUACGUGAUUUUCCAUUUUCAUGAUCACCCGUGAUUUUCCAAUGGCAAAUUAUUAGCUUCUUUAAAAAUAUUUUGGGUAACCUUGACUUGUGAAGCAAAAAAGACCAUGAAGCAAAACAUGCUUUAACUGUUAAUUGAAAAAGUGUUGAUUUAACUCAGAAAAAUACUAACAACACAUUCUUCCUAUAUCACUCUUAAAACCAUUCUUUAUUAUCUAUUAAAACUUAUUAAAAAUCACAAUUUUGUAAGUGCUACACUAAAAAGUGUGUUUGGUAAUAUACAUUUGUAGUGAAAAUGCUCAACCUCCAUACACACUUCUUUCUCCCCUUUUAUUCUAAUGGGUGAUGGUGUAGAAAACGAUGUAGUUUGUCGGCGGAAUUAUUAAUAUGGUGCAUAUCAUAAAAAAACUGUGCAAAUGUGUUCUUGCACAACUUGUACGCAAAUCAUGUGACAACUCAAUUUUCCAUCAAAGCGAACCACAGAUAGGUAUGGGUAGGUAUAACAAGGAACUGAAGGAAGCCCAUAAUGUGAAUGAAAAAGAUGGGAUAUAUUUUGGGCGCAUGACAAGUUUAAACUCAAGUAAAAAUCCUGCUAUGCACCAGUAAAUAAAUAUUAUCAUCUGAUGACCUGUAAAUUUAAACAUGAAAAAUACCAUUUUAUCCAGCUAAAUCAAAGAUAAGGUUAAGUUUUCCCUAGCACAUUAUCUACAUAUGUUUAUAGUCUGCAUUGCAUGUAAACUAUCAGCUACAGCUUCUGCUCGCAAUGUAGUAUGGAUCUUCCCAACCAUUCAGUUUGACAUUCACAACUGAUUCCGGUGCCUGGUUAUCUGCAAGCCAGGAAAUGUAGGCAAUAUCAGACUGAAAGAACUGUGAUCCAUAACAGUACAGGUAAAAAUAUAAAGAUCACUUAAGCUGAUCAAGUAAAUAAAAAAGGGUAGUACAAAAGGCUAGAGAUAUGAUACAUGUACAACAAUUAUUACAAUAAUUUAUAAACAUCAUUUUAUGUCUAUCUCUUCCUAUCAUCAUUUAUUACAUUUAAAAAUUUUCUCUCUCCUCUCACUUUUCUCCCUUUCUCUUUGUUGUAAGAUUUGUUGUACAAGUAUCAUUUCUCAAGGCUAUAUGUAUGUUUUUUUAACUAUGAAUAGUCUACAACAGAAUAACAUUUAGAAUCCAUUAAGAAAAAAGAAGAAAAGUGGAAUUGAAGGCCUCCAGAAUCAAAUUUUACUGCAAUGUACUGAAAUAUGCAUUUCAACAUAAAAUUUAAUUCAAACCUUAGACAGAUAAUUAAAAGGAGUAAGAGAGCCUAAAGUUCACCUUAAUUUCCACGACACAUCAGCUAAUGUUCUGGGGACGACUGUCGUUGGUCUGGUGGCUGUGGCCACAUUUGUGGUGCCAUGUAGGGGUGAGACUGCUGAGCAUACAUGUUUGGGUCCAUCACAGGCUUACCCAUUAUAACACCAGCAGCUCCAACUUGGGACGCAUGCUGAGGCGGCAUGUAGCAAUAUGGAAGGGCAUCAGCAGGCCCUGCAACAGGCAUUGUUCCUCUUGGGAUUGAUGCAAGCACUUCAUCUUUCAAGUCCUCACGAGGCACAAUGUCAACCAAGAAAUCAAAGAUGUCAGUCCUUGUGAUUGCAGCAGCAAUAUCAUUUUUUUGAAGUGUUCGCCUUUUGUUCUCUUCAGUGUGAUUCCAAGAACGCAGGGUUAACUCUAAUAUGAACAUUUCACAUGCCCUUGCAAAGAUGACUGGUGCUUCGGCUGAUAUCAUCCUAACAUCCUCGUCAGCCUUCAUAAUCUUCUUGAUCCUUGCCAGGGGAAGACUGUGGUUCUUGAAAUCAGUAACCUUCUCAAUUUCUUGGUACUGGUUUGACCAAAAUUGUUGGAGCUGUUGCUGAAGCUGGUGUUGUUGUUGCUGAUGAAUAUGCUGAUAAGCAAGUUGAUGCUGUCCUAGCUGAGCUCCAGCAGGUGUGGAUUGAAUGGUACCAACUGAUGUCACAACAGACCCCGGUGGCCCAGUUAUUUGGCCUGGCUGAUAUGGGUUAGAACCAUAUGCUAAUUGAGCUCCACUACCAACCACCCCCAUAGAUGGGUUCUGGCUAUGCCCUUGAUGAUCCAUUCUGUUUCAGAUAAAAUCAAACAUGCAAUGACAUGAGUGCCUACACUUUACACAACCAAAAUAACAAACCAUGCAAUCAUCAAAGUAAAUUUUCAAUAUAUUAGUGAGUAUACCAUGAUAAAAUAUUCAAUGUAAACGUGGAAGGAAUGAAAAUAUGUGCCUCUAAUGCGGUGCUCUCAAUCAUGUGAUGGAAGAUGACAUGAGCUCCAUGCAAGAAAGAAACAGGCAUAUCUUUUUCUUGAUUUGCACAAAGCAUUAAAGCAUGAGACUAUUUGCACAAAGCACUAAAGCAGGCAGCUAUUUGCACAAAGCAUUAAAGCAGGCAACUUUGGUGCCUAGAAACACCCAUGUGAAAGCAACACAGGUGGCAAAACCAACAGUUUAGAAAGCAUACUAAAUAAAAUUUUAUCAACAAAUCUCUCCCCCACCCAAAGACCAAAAUGCUUUCCAUUUAAGAAGAGCAUCAUAUGCCUCCAAAAAUACAGGACAACCACCCAAUUCAACUAAAGAAUCUCAUGGUUCACAUAAGAAAAUAUAUCUGUUAAGAAAUUUAUGGCACAACAAAACAUCCAUCAUCAAGAUUUCCGGGGAUUUUAACAACAUGCUUGAUUUUAACAAGGAUUCACAAAAAAAAAAGGAGCAGCUUUUAAUUUCUCUGUUUUCUAACAAUUAAGAUCAAAGAGAAUUCUUCAGCUCCAAGACAUGUCAGUUUCACAUAUGCGAAAUUUCGCCCAAUAAAAUCAGUCAAAGGAACCACAAAAAGAUAGAAAGAAAAAAAAAAGCAACAGCAAAUGGAAUUAUGGGUGGCAAUAAAAAUUAUCCCCCCAAAAAAUAAAAUAUAAUAACGGAUGAACAAAAGCAUGGAGACCACGUUACAGUAAACCUAAACAAAUGCAGAUGCAUGAACAAAAUCACAAAUACAUAUACACGGGUAGAGCAAGAGUUGUUACUUGUUACCUUCCCCAAAGGAUGAUGCAGCGCUUCGCAAACACUGAGAAUCCAGAACCUGAGAAGGGAUCAAAAGGGGAAAAAAGAGAAACAAAAAAAUUAUCAGAAAUUAUAUUUGAUUCAAAGAUCUAUAGCAUGAGAAUUGUGCUGGGUCGGGCACAAGAAGCAGUUUUUUCAAGUGUGAAAGAUUCCAAAGUUUAGAGCAGACAAAAAUUUAGGGUUUCAGAAGAAAAGUAAGAAAACAAAAGAAGCAGAGCAGAGCAGAGCUGAGGAUUGACGAUGUUUUUCUUUGGAACGAACCUCAGACAGCGAAGUGCGAGAACAAAAGCUGUGUGAUCGAUUCUGACUAACAUUGUCGGACCUAACUCUUAUAUUGGCAAGUUUUUUCAAUUUUUUCUCAAUGACGAAUUUACCCUACUCAUAUUCCUCAAACCCAGUGUGACAUUCCUUUCUCUUGAGAUUAUAUAAAUUUAGAUCUUCCAAGUUACUUAUUAAAGUCAUAUGCGUCAUCACAAAAAUCUUUCUUAUAUUAUGUUAGUUUUUAAUUCUAAAAAUUUUAUAUUAUUUUUUCAAGAUUUAAACCAUUAUUAUAGUUUUAUUCAAAAUUGAAUUGAAUGAUUGAUAAAAAAAAAUAAUUUAUGAACAACUUAUAUAACUAUCAAAUCUUUAUAAUAUUAAUUUUAAUUACAAUAUAGAGAUAGUAUAAAAUUUGUUCCAUUGUCAUCUUUUUGUGUGUGAAUUUUGUAAUUCUUAAUCAAAAGUGAAACAGUGUAUUUUGCAAAUCAUUUUAAGAGCAGUAGGUUAUAAGUUAUUUUGACUAGUUUAAAAAUUAGUUAAAUUAAAACUAGAGCAUCUUGUGUUUUACAAGAUAAAAUAGAAAACAAAAAAGAGAAAAAGAAAGUAAAAGGGAGUAAGCAAAAAAAAAAUGUGAAAAAAAAGGCUAACAAUACACUGGAUAGCAACAAGUGACUGUGUGUGGACACAUUUUAUAUUACUGCACACAAGCUUGUUUGAUAUACAAUUUUAUGUUAUUAUAAGACGUGGAAGAACAAUUUAAAUUUCAAAAUAAAUGAAACUGAUGAAGAUUCAAAGAGUUUUUUUAGAAAUUUAUUAUGUUUUAAAUCUUUAGAAUUUUAUUUAGAUUUAAAUAUAUUAUUAAUUUGUUUUAACUUAUUUCAGGAAUUUAUUUUGUUUUAAAGAUUAUGAUAUGAUAAUAUUUGGAUUUUUUAUUGCUAUUUAAUUCUUUAUAUAUAGAGCCAAAAAAAUAAAAAAUUAUAUAUUAUGUUUCAUUUAAGAUUUCUUGGAACUGUGAGUAAUUAUGUUGUGUAUAGGAGUUUUUCCAACAAUAAUAUUAAAGUUAUGACAAGGAACAAACAAAAGUUUGAAAUCUCAUUGUUUAAUGGAAAAACAAUUUUUAUGAUUUGACAAUCUAUCAUUCAAGACCUUUUAGUACAAAAAGGUCUUGAUCUGGCUUUAAAAGAUGAAAAGUCAGUUGUUAUAGGUGAAAGGGAAUGGACUUAAAUACAAAGGAAGGUUAUGACUGAAAGUCUUGUGGGAGAAGCUUGAGAGCAUUUAUGCAUCCAACUUGUUGAGUAAUUGUUUAUGUUUUAAGAUAGAGUUGUAUCAACUCAAAAUAGAGAUGAGAGGAAAUCUUCAUGAUCACAUUAACAAUUUUAAUAAACUAAUAUGUCAAUCGUUGAAUGUAGAUGAAAACAUAUUUGAUGAGUAGCAAACAAUGUUACUAUUGGCUUCACUACCAAGAUCCUACAAACCUUUGGUUCAUACAAUGCUUGUAGGGAGGACAACAUUGAAGUUGGAUGGUGUGACCGCGACUUUAAGAGAAAAUGAGAGAAUGAUGAAAGAUGAAAGUAUUGACAAUAAAAGUCAUGUACUAGUCAUGUAACGGUUUUAGUAAGGGAGAAAUCAUUAUGAAGACAACAAGAUGGGAAAAAAGGAAUAUCAAAGUCACAAUGUCAUCCAGAACAAGAUAAGAGUAACGUGGAGUGUUAUUACUGUAGAGAGAAAGGUCAUAUGCAAACAAUGUGCCCUUAAACCCAAGAGGACUUGAAGAAUGGAGAGCUAUGAAGACAGAUGAUGACUAGUCUGAGGCUAAUGUGAUCCAAAAUUUUGAAGAUGAAGACCUAUAUUUGACAACUACUAAGGAGGUUGUUAAAUCAAAAUGGAUAAUAAAUUAUGCUAUUUUACAACACAUUUUAGAGAUGGAAUGAUGUUCAAUACUUUAAAUGAAAAGUUGGAUUAUUUCAACUUAGAAAAUGGUGAGAAAAAACAUAAUUCUCAAUUUAAAUAAACAACUUAGGUAUGUUGAUUUAAAUUGGGAAUGCAAGAUGUACAAGGGGAUAUACUUGAAAUUGUGAGGAUAGAAAAUUUAGAGAAACCUUUGCUACUUGGAAGGACAAACUUUGAAAAGAUGAAAUUUUCUAAUGAGGUGGUUAUUUAGAAAUUUUAAUUGAGGAAGGAAUUGUUAGACAACAAUUGAAAUUUCAAAAUAAAUGUAACAAACUCUAAAAUUGAUUAGAAUCUCAAUAAGUUAAUCUUCUAAUUAAUAAUUUAGAUUUUGUUAAAAUGUGCAUGCGUGUAUAUGUUAAAGAUGUCAUCCUUUAAAAAAAAGAUAUUAUCAAACUAAUUAAAUUGUUUGUUUUAUUAUUUUAUCUUCAUAAUUGAAACUAACUUUAUGUAUUUCUUUUAUCAAAUGUGAGAAUUCUAAAUUUCAAAGGGAGACUCGGGCAUCUCGUGACCGCUUGGAGAAAAUAAGACAUUUUACAGCAUAACAUAUGGAAGAGAGCGUCUUUUAGUGAGAUCUGAUGCCCUAUUUUUUUUCUAUUCUCUGGAAUCGUUUCUCUUUCAAUUUCACUUCAUUGUCUCUUCUUCUAUCAUGAAUGUGAAGUGUCUCACGUUUAGAAUGCGUUUGAAUUUGCAUUACGUUUAGUAGGCACACGUUUCGAUGCAUGUAUUGUGAGAAGCUACAGUUUGAAGCUUUUGCUUGAACAUCCGUUUGGGAAUUCUCAAAGAAACAAAAAACAAACACACUAAGUAAAUGUUUAAAUAUAUAGAUUAAAAAAAUUGAGAAUUUUAGAUGAAAAGUUAAAAAAAAUAUAUUGAGUCCUUUUAUUUUAGAUGAAAAGUAAUGAAUGAGUUAAAAGUAAAACUAUAAAUCCUUUUUAUUUUGAGUGAGUCCUUUUAUUUUGGAUGGAAGAUAGUGUUAGGCAAUCCAACGAACAAUUGAUAGCUCCCACAUUCUUUAAUUUAUUUAAAGAUUAACUAAAUUAUUUUCUAAAAAUUACUAGUUGAUUUUUUUUUAAAAAAAAGAAAGAAUACCAAUAAAAUAAGUAUUAUUUAAUCUUGUACAUUUUUUCCCCUUUUACGAAAACCCGUUUAAUUUUUUUAUUGUUUGUCAACUUCAAUAGAUGGAUGGUAAUCUUUUUAAUGUGAAAUUUGUGCGAGUGGCAUCAUUCUAAGGGCAAUAUAUUGCCCUUUCGCUGAAACAGAACCGUUGAACAAGUCAGUGAAGAUAUGAUUAUAGGCAGUGUUUUUCAACUCCCAAAGGUCAAGAGACCAAAAACAGAUGAAGCCCUUUCCAAGAUAGAAAACAAGAUACGAAGCUAGUGGCAUAGGUCUCUCCCCUCCCACCCCAAAAACCCUUUUCCCCUACUUUUUACCCCAUUCAGUGCGGACUUUUUUAUACCUAUCAUGAACUUUUAUUGGCAAACAAUUAUUCGAACCUCACUUGCAAUGGCUAGGGUGCCACGUUUCCAACAUUCAUCUAGCAGCCACUUUGGUGGAAAGAUUUGGAGUUCUUUUCCAAUAAAUAAAUAUAUAAUGAGUAUGAAGAAAUACUUUCCAUUUAGACGUUAGAAUAAAUUACGAAGAAAUUACAAGAAAGGUUAUGAGUCUUCUCUUAUAAGGAAAGAUUAAACUCUAUUGAAUAAAAAAAUAUGUUUUACAAGAGAGGUCAAGAUUAAACCUGAUUUCAAAGUAGUUUUUAAAGAAACUUUACGCGAAUUGAACCACAUGUAUAGGUUAAAACGGCCUUUUAAGUAGUGGCUUAAUAGAAGUCUUGACUAGCAUUUAAUUGAGGGCUCUAAGGUUAUUCUAAAGAAUUAGUUUUCUUUCUAUAUAUAAAAAAAAGUAUUUUCUCGCUUAACUUACUUUUCUUUAGAAUAGAAGCUGGAGAAGAAUAGAGAAGAUAGAAAACAAACAUUUUAAUAUUUUAUAUAUCCUCAAAUUUUUCUCUCCAGGAUGAGAAACAAUGUGAAAAUUGAUGUAAGGUUUGCAAAUUUAUAAUCACACCUCUCAAUUUAUUUUUAAUUUUCUUAAGUUGAGGCGAGGUCAAAGAGUACCAACAGAUUUUGAUUUAAUUAUCAAUCAUGUCUAAUUGGAAAAAUAGGCUGAAGAACUGAGCCUAACAUCGGUGUAGGUGUGCGUGUACAUGUGACUGAUGCGAGAGUUGUGAAAGUAAAUCGCACGAGAAUCUUUAUUCCUAAAUUGUUGGUCAUAUUCUUUUUUUAGAUCUUGAAGAAGCUAUAUUUUAUCUCAAAACUAAUGUCCGGUUUGAUUUGGUAGAGGAGAGACAAAUGAGGAACUAUUAUUUCAGUUUGCAGGGGAUUUUUACUUGUCAUGGAGAGAGACAAAUAAGGAACUAGUAUUUAAAAAAAAGUAUUUUCUAAAUUUUAAACAAACAUUUUUAUUCUUAUUUUCUGUUUUCUUUUAAAAUGAAAAUAAAAAACACUUCCAUCAAGGGCCACCCAAAAGUACAAUUAAGCUAAUCAUACUUUAGCCCAUUUAGAACUACUCAUCCUAGCUUCUUAUUUAUGAAAUGGAAAAAAUCUAACCCAUAUAUGACAUGCCAAAACAUUUUUUUAUAACUGAUUAAAAGUACGUUCAAUAUAACUAACAGUCAAUCUCAGCUUAGGUACCAAACCAAAAAACCAAUGAAGUUACAGUAGUAGGAGUAAAAGAAUUGUGAACAAAAUAUGUAAGCACUGCAUUGGGACAUUCUGGACUGCUUUGGAUUGUAAAACAAUAUAAUAAAUUCCUGUGAUCAGGACCCAACUAAAAAUUUGUGUCUAGCCAAACCCAAUGGAGAUACCGAAAAACUCUUCAUGAUCAUACGCUAUGUCGUCAAUUUUUUACUACACGUGUUGAAUUCUUCCUUCAAUAAUGCCAUCUAUGUGGAUUUUUAGUGUUAGGUUUGAUUAUUAAUAUCUACCCUGAAAACAUGGCUAUUACUAAACUCACUGCCGUAAAAGCAACAUAGAUGCCUACCAGACAGAAGCCCCAAAACCUAGGCACUCUGAAUCUGCACCAAGUGAUCACCAAGAGAGACCCCAUAAGGCUUAAAAGGAGGAAUACAAAUGCCAUCACUCUAGGAUAUAUAUAGCAGUUCCAAGGCCAACAAGCAUGUUAAACAUUGGUCCCGGCCAUUGCCACAUCAGCAUCAAGAUCUCCCACUGAAUUUCCCCAUGCCAGCACCGUGAGACCCUAUAGGAUGAUUAAAUGGCAUGAAUGAGUUGCAGGCAUACAAGAGGGCUAGCGGACAAAGUGCAAUAUUGGCCCAUGCAUAAAAUCUGCUCCAUUGUGAUGGUGCUGGUUGAGGGAUUGUCAAUCUCAUGAGAGUUUUGACAGGAAGCUCCCACGUUUUAGAAAUCUCUGUAUGCAGAGCAAGAGAUAAAAAAAGUCAGGACAAUCUCAAAGUACAGAAAUUCAACUAUAUUGUAAAGAACUAGAAACCUACCCAAGCAAUGCAUAAAAUUGCCCAUAUUGUUUUUUACACAAGAAUGAUUAGCUACAUUGUGCUGAAUCAUUUUUUAAAGAGUUAUGUGAAAUAUUAUGUGUCAAAAUUAAGUAGUUAUCAUCAAAUCAAAUUAAAGGAAUGAUCAUAUCUUUCACAACAAUUGUUAAUCUAAGUAAUUCAACAUGUCUUUCAAAAGUAAAAUAAAAAAAAUCAGAAAUAAUUUUGAUUUUAUAUCAAAAUCUUGAAAUGUUACCUGCUAGACUUGACUCAACGUUUACCAACAUAGGGGAUCAAUUGCCUCCCCCCAACCCCCUCCCCUCAACGUCAAUGUUUAAUGACAAAAGGUUCAAUCUGGUUAACUCCACCAUAUUAGAUCACUUUCAUUCUUUUCUGUGAUGUACACUCUCAAGAAACCAUUUCAUCAUCCCCAGUGCAUUUUGAAAGCAGUUAGUCACCGUCUGAAGGUGUCUGGUGUCCUUUUAUUAAAUUUUGACCAUCUUGCUUAAUGUCGUAUCAACUACUUAGUUAUCAAGACAAAAUCAUAUCACUCAGUAAAAAAUAUCACCCUGAAUGGACAAAAUCUUUUGUCUAUACAUAGCUAUAGGUUUCCCUAUCUUGUAUUUAAAUAAUCUGGCACACAAGCUUCCAAUUGUAUCUCGUUCCCUUCCAAAUUCAAACACACUUUCCUAUCUAAAACUUCUGAAACAUGUCAUAUUACCAAAAACUGAAUACAACAAAGAUUACAUGUAGAAAAAUAAUAACAAGCAAAAGGAUUUAACGUGAUUCAACACCUCUUGCUUACGUCAACGGAACCGUCUCAAAAAGUAUUUCACUAUCACAAUAAUGAUUACAAAAUUGUAACUCACUUCAAAUAGUGUAUCACUCUACAAACUCGAGUACCUCACUCAAUGGUUACAAGAAAUUAUAACACUCUCAUACAAAAAAAAUUUCUCUCGACAAAGUGACUUUGUUUCACAAUCUAUUUUCUCACACACUCUCUCUUUAUAUGUUGUUGUUUUUCCAGUAAAUCUUUUUUUUUUAUUUAUAGUGAAAAUUGUCGCCAUCUAUAAUAAAUAAGUUCUCUUAAAAGUUGAAAUAUGCAUCCAUCAACUAAGAUUCAUCUAGUAAAAUGCAAUCUUACACUUUGUAUUUAAGUCACAUAAACCUUUGUGACAAAAAUCAAUUCCUAAUAUACAUACAUCUUAUUUUUUGGUUUGGAAGUCUACAAUUCAAACAAUGAAUUCUGAGGAUGAAAAAACAUUAAGUUAGAGCAUCUGUGAUAUGAAUAGUGUAAAAAAACAACAAAUUAUGGUGUCGAGAAUUUUUUUAGUAGUCACUCACUCCUAGUUAAACCCAUUAUCCCUAAGAACUACGUGAAUUCAUCUUUUUUUAUAAUCAGGACUGCAUGGUUUUUAGGAUCCUUGAAUAGGUUUGAGUUUACUGCUACUUAAUAUGAACUAUGGCGAUUGACUUGAUUUCAUUUUGCGAAAAAUUCGUGUCAAUUACUAUUAAUUUCAAAUUACUUGUGAUUCUUCUUAAACAUGAUCAUUUUCUUUUUUCGAAUAUAAUUAAUUAUCUAACUCAAACAAUAGAUUAUGGUGUCGAGAAUUUUUUUAGUAGUCACUCACUCCUAGUUAAACCCAUUAUCCCUAAGAACUACGUGAAUUCAUUUUUUUUUUAUACAUUCACGCAAUCUGCAAAUCGAAAUCAUUUAAUAAAAUUCCGACAAAACCAGAUUUUAUCUCAACUUAAAAUAUACAUUUAAAUUUGAAUUACUCAAUUUUAAUCUAACAAUUCUAAGGUUAAUAUGUGAAUUUGGUAACUGCUCCAAAUCCAUUUCCGUGCCUGAUACUGGUGUUUGGUAGAAAAACAUGUGGACUUUGUUCUAAGUUUAAAGUUUAAUAAUAUAUUAAGGAAAAAUAAAAUAUCGGCACAUAACAUUAAAGAGCAUUACAUUUCAAUACUAAAAAAACGAAAGCAAAGUACAAAAUUGCAAAAUGCGGGAGAAAGCUGUUAUUUACUUUUUCCAGGUGCAGAGAGGCAUCUUUUAUUCUUUGUUUUCGGUACUAGAGAUGUCGCUUUUAAUUACUAGAAAACUGAGAAAUUAUUUCAAACUUUUCCAGGCAAACACUACCCAAGUAUUUUUAACAGCUAAAGGAGGGUUCAUUAUAGCAUAAAUAUAUUUUCUCCGGAGGAAUUAAAAAAGUUCAGACCAACGCUUGAAAACCACUAGCAAAUUUUGAAUGUUCAAGUAUUCAUUCAUGCGAUAUUGAUUUCACUUUCCAAAACACAAAUUCCCUUCCUCUUUCUAGUUCUUUGAACCAACCUUCUAUAUUCGUUAUAGGAAAGGUUAAAGUUACAGCAAAAAGCUUAACAUGAAGGGCAUCAUCUAUAUUCCUGAGGCAAUCGAUAACCUGGCAUGACUAUUUUAUCAGCAAACAUUUUGCCAGUCUUCGGCAUAACAUGCCAAUGCAUAGUCAGGUUAUAUUCUUUGCCACGCAAAUUGCUCCCCUGAACAUGAAAAAAUAGAAAAUUUGAGCCCUAAAGAAAUCUGAAGCAAAUCAUAUUGGUCACAAAGUCCUCCGAGAGUUGUAUACCUGGUCGAUGAAGCGGUAUUUAUUUGAUGUAUGAAUCCAAAACUUUGCAUGCUCUUUAGAGGGAAUGAUACCAUCCCAUAGGGAUAUCUGUAAAAUGGCAUUUCAAGCACCUAAGCAACAUACAUGCAUACACAACAUAUACCAAAGAUGGAAUAGAUGCAUCAUUAUAUGCAAUGGCACAGCUAUCUGAGUGAUAUGAAUAGUAUAAAAAAACUCAGAACUCGGGAGCCACUGCCUCACCCAUGAAAAUUCAAGUUCCACUAGCACACUAUUACUAUGGCUUCCUUUUAUUCUUUCCUUUAUAAAAACAAGCUGGCAAGCUUACAAUUUAAAUGUUCAUAUUUCAAAAGUAAAUGCAAACAAACUAAUCAAUUCAUACCUGAUUCAAGGAAUUCUUAGGAGUUUCAUACUCAGCAGCUAGAAAAACAAAAACCUGCAACCAUACAAAAUGACACAAAACUAAGUCCAAGGACAGCACUGAAAUUUCUAGCUACCAAACAGUUUAGAAUAAUUGACUAGAAAUAAGGAGUUCAUGGGUAUGCUAUAUUAAGCAGCCCCAACAUUUCCAUAGUAAUAAAAAUAUAUAUUUCAUGAAAUGAAACAAGAUAUAACAAUAGGUAAGGAAAUUUAAACAUUAAGGAACGUAUUAUGAUAGGAGACAUAGAGCAAACAAGCACACAUUUGCUUUGGAUUAUUUUCAAGAAAUAAUAUUUUUUUUCUCCAAAAGCUCUCUCCAAGAGUUUGGGGGGAAAAAAAAGCAAUUAUUUCAUUCUUCCCUGUCCUACAAAGAGCAUCCAUACUUUUCAGAGGCAAAGGGAGAGAAGACAAAAAAGAUUAUAAUGAAAAAUCCAAAUUAAAGUCAAGAACCUGUUUUGUGUUCCAUGUGAAAAGGGACUGCAAGUCUGCGGAAAUAUUCAUCGUCAUGCUGACCUGCAAGAAAAGAAAGACUUCCACUUCAGACUUAAUAAUGAAUAAAGAUGACAUUACGAUAGGAGAGAAAAGGAUUACAACAAGCUGGUUUUUGACAAAAUAUGAUAUUCACAACAUAAUAUCUUAUGCAGUUUUCAGAGCACGAAACAUGAAUACAGUACAUAAUUUGGUAAAACUAGGUGUUCUUCUAAGCAAAUAGCACAAUACAAUUAUAAAUUUUACCAUGCAAUAAUAAUUAUAUUGAAAAAUCUAUAAAAUAAUAAUUAUAUUGAAAAAUUGCUAACUAGAACCAUCACGAUGCUUCCGAUUAUUUCUCUCUAAGUUCUUGACUAGUUUCAACCACGUGAAUAUCACUUGUAUAUGAAAUAAUAAUUAUAUUGAAAAAUCUAUAAAAUCGGCAUAGAUUUGGAAACUUCAUAAUUAGGUCUUCACCAAAUACACAUUUAUUAGUCAGAAACAUAGGUUAAACAGAAGAAGAAUUUGUCAGCUAAACCAUCAAUCUCAAUUUUGGUUUGGACAAGGCAUUGAUAAUAUUUAUAUUGAAGAUGUGCCACAGAUCUGUUCUGCUCCUUAAAUUCCUUAAAUAAUCCUGGAAGAAUCUGUAAAAUUAUUGUUUGCAUAUACAGUUGAUAGUCUUGUAAGUUGGAACACGAGAAUGGUAUCCUAAAGAACGUAAAUGGGUUGAGCUAUUCCUCAACUAUUCAAGCUCAACCCGUUAAAUAUAAUCAAACUUGUUUGUUUUACUAAAACCAAGCUCAAGCUUAGCUUUAAAUUCAAUCAUAUAAAGGAUCUAAACACAAGCUACGUGACUCAGGCUAUUACUCAGUAAAUUGUAAUUCUGUCUAGAGAACAAAGAACUACAAUUAGUUCAUAUAUUCUUUCACUCUCUUUCACUUAAAAUAUUUGCUGUAUCUUCUAACAUGAAAAUGUCUACUAAAAACUAAAUUACUAAAUUUUAAAAUACUUUGAGAAGAGAUUUGAUAAAGGGAAAGAAGCUAUUCAAGCUAUAGGCAAACUACAAAAUUUCAAACAAGUCAAGCUUUUGCCUCGAUUACAAAAUUGAGAUAAGCUUGAGCAUUUAUCUUCUUUUUUUUUUUUUAUGCAAGUAAAGACAGAGCUUCAAGUGGUCAACUCUACUCAUUUUCAAAUACUAAGCAGCUUUGAUUCGUGCAAUUCAUUUACAAGUACUCCUCCAUGUCAUUUGUGUUUGCUUGUUCAAACUCUAGCCUAUGUGACAUAACAAUAUAUUUGAUAGGAAGUAUCCUGUAUGUCAUGUUUUAAAUGUAUUUACUUGCAAGCAGCAACUAAGGAUCAUUCAAUGAUAACUUUGUCAUGUUUAAGCAUUGAAGGCAGAGUUAAUACGAUGUUUCCUACAUCAAAAACCUAUACCAACUGCAAUGCAAAAACUUCAGUUGUUUGUUACAUGAGAUGAUAACCAUAAACCUAAAAUUGCAGAAUAAACUGCCCAAGCAUCAACAUCGAUACUAGGUUAGUAACCACUCAAAGAUAAAACAGAAACAAAUACCAUCUGUGAUAUAAUUGAGUUUAAUUUUGAUACAAUGUCAACUGUUAAGAUUUUUAGGGUUUUACUAGCCAGCCAAUUAAGAAUCACCCAAAGUAUUAACAGAAGUCAACAAAAUUCAAUUUGACGGCAGUCCAUGAUAUAACGAAAACCAACAAAAAUUCCAAGGUUUAGGUUUAAACACGAUCCUAAAUCUGAAGGAGAUUGCAGACUGAAAUAAGAAAAAGUCCUGCAAGACCCAUCAACGAACCAGGAUGUUGUGUUUGACUAGGAAAACAAACAAACAGGAAUUACCUCGUCGUUGCCAUUGGGUUGUUUCUGAAACCAGUUGAUGUUCAGAACCUGCGUCCGGAGACACAAAGAACAGCGAGUAAAAAAAGGGGGCAGGGGAAUGAAAGAUUGAUCAAAUUGCAGAUCCGUAAAAGUGAACUUAAAAAGAGAAAAGAGGGACCUGGACUUGUGCAGAGGGAGUGGGGGUGUUGAAGUUGUCGGAUACAGAAGCCAUAGCGCACAUAAGCGCCAGAAUGGUUACGGCAAAGGUUAGCAACGCGUUGGCUCUGUAGCCGAAUGAAUGCAUUUUGAGGGUUGGACUGCGCUCUCUGUGUUUGAUCAAAAGAAAGAGAAAGAGAGCGACACUGCUACUAAACUAAGCAGACAAGGAAAGGAAACGCUCUCUCAUUCGAUGGAACCACGUAUGAAAUCUUCUGUCCUCACCAAUUAUAUAGUGCCACGUCAAUUAAAAAAUCCACGUCACCGUUUUAUCGAAGGAGUAACGCCGUUUACAGCGCACGGUGCUGCCUCGCCUGAUUUCAAUCAAACCGUACGACGUUGGAGCCAUACUGGACUGUGUCGUGUUGGGGAGGUUGCAAGCCGUUACUUCUCUGUUUGGUAAAAUAAAAAAGCUGCCGUGGAAUGCCACUCUCUAAUUUUGGGAACAAAAGAUUUUGCCGUACAAUAAAAAUGUUUCUUAUAAAAAGAGCAGCUUCUCUUUUGACAUUCUCAUUUUCUUAAGCUAUCCCACACCUAUAUAUAAGCCAAUUAAAGUUUUGUAUCUUUUUUAAAAAAAAUCAAAAUAAGGGUGCCAAAGUAGCAUAAUACGAUCGUUGCUGUCGUUGUUGAAGUGUAUAUAUUUCGUUUCACAUUGUAUAAAUCAGAAGCUUAAUUAUAUUAUCAAUUUCCGGACCUAAAAAUCAAUGUACUAUGAUUGAAAAGUGUUACAUCCCAUUUUUUAAAAUAAAUUUUAAAAAAUUAUUUAAAAGUAAAUAGAAUUUUAAAAAAAUUAUAAAAUUUUUAUAAUUAAAUAAAUAAGGAGAAAUAAUUUUAUUAAUUAAAAUAAUGAUUUGAAGGGAAAUAAAAUAAAUAUUUUAUUUAUUCAUUUGAUAAGAAAUAAAAUAGAAUUUAUUUUUAUAAAAUAAAUAAAAAUAGAGUAAAUAAAAGUUCUAGAGUACCCUAGCUAUGUAAUAGGUCAUUCUUUAUCUGUGCCUCCCUUCCUCUCAACUCCAUUUUUUUCUUGUUCCUUUUCAAAAUCUUCUCUUUUUCUCGCAUACACUCAAACUUAUCUCAUUAAAACAAUAAUCUCGGACUCGUUGUUAACCAUUGGAUCGUCUUUAGAUUUGAACAUGUGGUUUAGAACUUAUUUUCACACAUCCACCAUUGAUAUUUUCGAGAUAAUGUUUGUGGUGUAAGAAAUGUUCCCCUUAUUGAAUUUUCUCUUUUCUCGCAUACAUCCAAAAUUUGUUCCAAUAAAACUAUGAUCUCAUACUCGUCAAUCGUUGGAUCAUCGUGAAAUUUGGAGACCCCCUUUGAAAUCCAUUUUUGCACAUUCUCACUGUUGGGAUUUGUGAAAUCAUGUUUUUCUCGAGAGAAAUUAGUAUCGCACAUUGACAGUAAAAUGGAAACUACAAUCUCUUUUUCUUCUCUCUAACCCUUAGAAACCCUAACAACGCAAAUAGAGGGAAAGUUUGAGAAAUCUUAUGAAAUUGCUAGAGAUGUCGUUAUCACUGUUGUACUACACACGUGAAUUCGCUUAGAGGUAAGUGAUGAGCAUAUCACAAUUGGGGUUAGAAUGAACAUGUGUAGGGAUUCUUAGGGGAUUAAAUUGAGAUUUAUCUUGGGAUGUUUAUUGAAUUAUAAUUUUUCCUUUAUGAUUAUAAAUAUGAUAUUAUUGUGUUUGACGGACUAAUUGAUGUCCUAAUGCAAAUUGGUUGAUAAAAUUGAGUGCUCUUAGUAUUUUCGUGUUUUUAACCUAGGAUCUUGAUUCAUUGAUUUUGAUAUGACUGUGUAAAAUUGUUUGAAGGGUUUUACUCCCCAUGUUGUGAGAAAUAUUUUUGUAUAAAUUGUUUGUACUUUGGACAAGAUUUUCUAGAUUGGCAUGAUCAAUUGUUAUAUUGAGAUUAUGGAAUUGUGAUUAAAAUUGUGCCAAAGCGAUAAAUUGAAUAUGUGAUCAAUUGUGAGAUAACAUGCUGCUUUGAGAUCAUAACAUUGUUAUUGGGAUUGAGUAUAAGUGCAAAGUUGAACGUGCAUUAUUUUGUGAGAUACACAUAAACAUGUGAUUGAAAAUUGUGACGUUGUGAUAUGUUAAAAUUGUGGACAUGAAAUUUGGUUGUGAAUAAGUGUGUGAUUAACACUUGAUGUGACAAUACUUGUGUUGUGAAUUUUGAAUUAUACAAUAACCCGAAUGGUGUUUACCUUGAGAAAAAUAUUUAUGCGCAGUGUCAAAGUGAAAACUUAAGAUUCCUAGUUAGGAACCAAAAAUGUCAAAUUGUAGCAUAAUGUGUUAAACGUGUUUAAAAUACGAGUGUGAGGUCGUGUGUACACCCAUCGGAUCGGACAGAAGCAAAAUAUGGCUCUGAUAUCAUAUUAAAUUUUAUAGUGCAGCAAAGGCAUCCGAAAGGUCCCUUUAAAAAUCGGUUCAUAAGGGGGUGGUCUACCCAGCUAUAUAAGCACUUAUCAUGUUCAUGAAUUACCCGAUAUGGGACUAUUCUUAAUCGUGUUUGCGUGCAAAAAUUAUUUUAGGGGUUGGACCUGAAUCAGGAAGGUGAGACCCUAAUGAAUUUUUCGGAGUCUAGGCCUUGGGGACAAAGAUGCUCGCUUUGAGUGCUUAUUUAAGUCUUUGUUGAUCUCAUAUAGUUAAAACAUUCUCGCAAAACAAUUCUCAUGAUUUUACUUAGUGAGAGUGACCUGACAUACCCAUUGUGUGGUGUGUCUUGUUAUGUACUCCUAAGCGCUCCAGUGUGAUUUUUCAUUGACAUGAUACCAUAUUGCAUAUAAGCUUGAAUUUUAGUAUAAUUGUUGCAUAACGUUUGUUAAUUGUUUAUUAUAAAAUUGAUUAGUGUUAUUACGUCUUGACCCGAGUGUAUGAUUCAUGUGUAAUAUGAUUGAUGAUUGAAAAAUAAAUUUUAAAUGAUAAAAUGAUAAAGUGACGUGAAUUGUAUUAAGUUAAGGUGUGUUAUAAAACUUUCAUAAUUUAUUUUGAUUACAUUUUUGUUUAUUGUAUUUUUUUAUAAAUGUGAUAACUCAUUCCUUGUAUGCUAUUUGUGUUUGGAUCAUGUGAUGAUCUCGAACUUUGUGUUCAUGGCAGCAGAUAACUAGGUGUAUGACUUUAAAAAUCUCGUGUUAGAGGACGUUGGGAAGCAAUCCUCUGAUAGGAUGUGACAUUGGAGAUGAGUUUUUAUUUUAAUUGAAUGAUAUUGAUUAUUUUAUUUUAUUUUACUUCACUGAUUUAACAAUUUUUUUUUUGUAAAUUUUGAGAGUCUUAUUUUGAGUCGGAUAUACUUUUAAUAAAUUUUAUUUUAUAAUAUUAGAGUGAAUGUAACUCUUUUAUUUACAUGAGUUUCUUUUUUUUAUUGAAUAAAAUCAUUUUAGUUAAUUAUUUUUAUAUAUUUUUUUAUUUAUAUGUAUUUCAUAAUAGAAAGUAACACAUGCAAAAAGGAUCGUUGAAAGCGAAAAUAGAAUAAAAAGUCGAUGUUCAAUAAGCAUAUAUACAGGGCAGGGGACUAACAGCAACAUUAAUUUCUCAUUGAACAACGCCAGAGAAGCCUUCAUAUUAUUAUAUUGUUCAAAGUCUUUAUUCUUACAUUACUUUACCAUAACAAGUAGUAGAUGCUUGCUUAAUUAUAAAUAAGCAAAUAUAUAAAAACUCUCUCGAUCAUGGCUCAUGCAUUGGCAAAGUUGAAGAGGUCACCACAUUUGACUCCAUGCGAGUGCAGUGAUGACGUGCUAAACCCGACCCUUGACCUUGCAAGAUCGAAUACCAUCAGCUUCUCUUCCAACUGGCGUGUCCCUAAGGUAACUUCAGCUCUAGGUUGCAUUCCUCCAUUCAUAACACCCAAACACGUGACCCCAGGUUGUGCCUGCACCAUCAAGUCCUCACCAGAGAUUCUCCAAACAGGACCAUUAGGCUUGUCCAUCACAAGGUCCACGCUAGGAUAUGCAUUGAUCUUGUUGGAGUUGAAGCAUAGCCCAAACGGUGCCACAGAUUUCACCUGUGCUUGCUUUUCCAGCUGCUGAGCAAACACCUGAGUGAAAGCCUGAUACAAAGAUUGCUGGAGAACCAUGUGAGGAGUUGAGGUGCUAAUCAUUGUUCCUCCAGAAGACCCUACGAUGGUUGAUGAUAUCUUGUUCGGUGGGAACACACUGUGCUGGUUGAUUCUUAUGGAGCUGACUCUCACGUUGUAUUCUCCUUGUGGUGUGACGGUUAAUGGGGUGAAAGCCAAAUCGUGGAAAAUAUCUUGGUUGUGAAAUUGUUGCAUGUUGUUUGGUGCAUCCCCGAAGAUUAGAGCACCCUUUGAGGUAGGGUAGCGAGAGAGGCAAGUGGUGAAUUGGUGUUGUAGGCCAAAGUGGGAGGCAAGUUGGUUUGGAAGAGAAAUUGGUGCAUGGCCUAACCCAGCCACUCCUUGAAUGUUUCUAGGGAGACCCUUUUGAAGAAGGAAGGAAGGUGCACAAGAAAAGAGGAACUGAGGGACUGUGACCAAUGGACCAAGUUGUUGGGUGGAGCCUUGAGUGGCGUGGAUUGCAAGCACAUCUUGGCCUAGUUCACCCAAACCGGUUUGUUGGGUGAUGGGGUUGGUGGACAUGAGGCCACACGUGUUUUUGUGGCACCCUGGCCUUGAUGCCGCUGGGCAACUGAGGCAUUGGUGAGUGUUGGCUCUGGAGCAUUGGGUGGAGUGGCAGAAGGGUGCUUGGUAUGUUUUGGAUGAGUAGUGUUGCUCACAGUUAACCCACAAGUGGUUUCCAUUGAGGUCCACCAGGACUGGUACUUGCAUUAGAGGGGUCCUUUUUUGGAGGUUGGCCCAAUGGAGCCCUGUGGAAGCAUCAUUUUGAACGGGUAGAACCAGAAGGUUUAUAGGUUUUGUAGGGUUAGUGUGGUGUUGGGGAAUGGGGACGGAGUCGGAUAAGAAGAAAAGGAAAGAGAAAGAAAGAGAGAGGGCUAAAAAGUAGUGGAGGAUAGAAGCCAUUAUUCUUAGUGUGUGUGUGUGUGUGUAUAGAGAAAGGUUUGAAUGAAUAAUGGUAGUGUUAGUGAGCUACUAUAUAUAGAGAAGAUCACCGUUCGGCUAGCUUUGAUUAGGGGCUAAGGGUGGUAACACUGUGGCAGGGAGAUUCUCUUUUUUUUUGGCCGUACGUGUUGGUAAAAGAGCCAAUUCCAGAAGCAAAGGCAGGAUAAACUUGAGUUAACAUGCACCGGGGAGAAAAACAAGGGGUUGGUGAGUGUUAGGGGUACUUGGCAGCUGAGAACAAUGCUUUAGUUGCAUGGCAUGCAGACUUCAUCCCUUUGUAAUUCUGUAAAGGAGCCGUGUGGAGUUCGUGAGUAGCUGUUGGUGACUAGCUAGCUUGGCUUGGAUUUUUUGUCUUGAUAUCCCUGUACUACAUUAAUUUCCCUACAUGCUACGGUUUGGUGAGAUUUUGAUGUAUUAACUAAGGAAAAUUCAAAUCAUGGGCUUUCAUAUUUUAUUUUAUUUGUCCCCUCAACAUUACCCAACGUGCGAUUGCUCUCAAACCACAAAGUGGCGUUCUAAACACUAUAUUAGUCUAUUUUGUUAUAUAAUAACACAAUUUUUCAACAAACUAUUCACUAAAAAUUAGAAAUUCAUGAAUAUGAAUGAAGUACUAUGGUAUCAGAAAAGUGAAAUCUACAAACUUUUGUAAUUUUUAAUAAGUUUCAACUAAGUAUAGUGUGUGUUUAGAAUCCUUUCACGUACGCAUGUUGAAUAUCAAAACCACCUCUAACAAAAGAAGCAAAAGCAAGACCAAAGAAGUGACUGGAGUGAUGCACAUGAAAUAUAGCAUAUGUUGACGGUCAUCUAUAUAUAAUAAAUAAUCAAAAUUAUUAAUUUACAAUAAUAAAAAAUAAUAAUACUUAAUUAUAUAUCAGUCAAUCAAGUGUAUUGCUAAGAUUUUGCUUUUAUGGAUGAAAAUCUCCUGUGUCUCCUCCCUUGUGCCACGAAUAAAAUAGCGCCACAUCAUUUAAAAUUAACAUGUCAGCUCAAUUCACGUUUUAUCCAAUUAACGCCCUCUCCAUGGCAGACUCGCAUUGAGCAGGCAAUAACGGUACGGUGGUGUGAUUUGGAUGAUGACGAUCGACAAUUUUGGAGCUUGGUUGUAAUCUGAAGAAAGAAAGGCAAACCACGUUAGACGAACAAAAAAGAGAGACGGAAAAUGGUAAUGAUCUUGUCAAUAGCUGGUCGGCUUCCGGUCAUUGUUAGCCAUUAAACUAAUUAAGUAUUUAAGCCUAGGGCGAUCUUAUGUACGAGUAGAAAACAUAAUCAGUGAUAACUUGUAUCUAUAUAUUGAUGUAAUUUAACCAGCUGCUCUAAACACCUACUUGACCCAAAUUUGAGAAGGAUGAUAAUUAAUUAAUUUCUCCAACUUUUGCAAGCUCAAGCCUCUCAUUCAUUUACUGAAACGUCUCUGUCCUCCCCAGUAGUAUAGUGCCAAACGGUUCGAUCGGUUCUGCACUUCUGGCGCGACAUUCCUCACGGACCACCUUAUGUUGAUUAGGGUCAUGCAGAACCAACCGACACCGUUAAACAAUUCAUUGCAUUAUUGCAUAAACUCCAAUAUAGAUCAAUAUAUCAAUAUCUUUCAAUUCUCUUCAAGAAAAAGAAACCUACUCACUACUCAGACAUAUAUCCUUACUAUUGCAAUCAAUAAGUUAAGUGUCCAAAUGAUAAUAGGCUUCAAUUCGUCUCCUUAAAUAAAUUAAUUUUGUAAAUAAAAAUAAUAUGAUUCAAAGCAAAAAUCUCACUAAUCAAUCAAAUUUUCAAUAAAAAAAUAAUUAUUGACAAAAACAAUGGAUACUUCAUACUAAAUUGGUAAAAAUAUGUUUAAAUGUUAAAGAACAUUUGAAAUUUCAAUAAUAACAUUCACCCGUUUGGAAUAAAUUUUUAGUUCAAAUUAUUAUUUUUCUUUAUUUAUUCAAUUAAAGAAGGUUUUUAUAUUUUAAAUUAACUUAUUUGAUUAUGUUCAAAUUUCCUGAAUUAAAAAUAUAUAAAAUUUGAAUAUAAAAAUAUAUUAAAAAUAAAAUAAAAUUUAUGAGAAUACAUUUUUAUGAAGUACGAAAUUUUAUAAAAAAAAACACAAACUUCAUGCAUGUAUAUGAAAAUAUAAUAUACAUCAUAAAAAAUUUUGGUGUGUUUUUAUAACGUUUAAUAUUUUAUUGUAUAUUGAUAUUGUUAACUAUAUACUAAUAUAUAUUUUUAUUAAUAUAUUUUAUAUAUUAAAAUAAAAUAGAUAAAUACAUUAAAAAAAUUUAAUAUAUAAUUUUUUAUAAAAUUAAUCAAUUAAGCUAGUUUUUAAUUAUUUUUUGGUGUAAUGUGAAACAAAUAAAAAUUGUUCCAACCUCAAAUCUUCUUACAUCAUUAAGGUUAUCUCAUAAUCUCAUUCGAAAUUUUGUCUAUUUUGAUACUGAGUGAUCCGACACAAUUUUAUCUUUAAAAAGUAUUUUGGUGGAUUAAGGGGUGAGAUUGUUUAUAAACUCUCCUUAGUCUUGACUUUUAAGUAAUAUGUGAUUUUUUGACAUACCAAAAUAAACAUCCAAUCGAGGUUAAGAGAGAAGAGUAAUGACCUUACAUCCUACCGUAGGUAUCAAUGUUUUAAUCUCAAAUAAUUAAACAUUGCUAGGAUCACCUCAUUCGAAUGUACCACUACGAAACACACCUACCGGAGCUAUAAUCCAAGUCUGAAAAUUUAAUGAGACUAAUUAAGUAUUAAAAAGUGAGCUACUAGUUUAAUUAAUUCGUCAAGGACACGUAAAUAUAUAGCCGAACCCGAACCACAUUAGUUUUUUAUUUGUUUGUCUGCUUGGCUCUGAUUACCCAACUUUAGGUUUUUUUUUUUAUUUCAAAAAAUCUAAAGUAUCCUUGGAUAGAAUGAAAUUGAUAUGAAAAAUUUGAAUUAAAGUACGUAUAAUAUAAAAGAGUGGAACUUAUACCAAAUUUUGAAAUUUUCCACUCAUUUUUGUGUUACUUUCCGCACAAUCACACUAGCUAAGUUGUAUUCUGGAUAUAACUUUCUGGAAUAAUGAUUACCCAGUGGUCUAGAAAUAAAAAAGAUAAGAGUGUGGAAGAGAGAUUGGUGAGCCACUGUAUGGACUCUGUGGUACAACAGGAAUAAAACUAUUUUCCAGCAACAGCGCUUUGAUGUAGACUCUGUCAUGGAAGCUAUAAAGUUUAAAACCUGGACAUGGCUUGAAGCUAAAGUACCUGAGUUUCAAUUUUCUUUUUUCGAAUGCUACUCUAAUCCUCUAAUGUGCUUGCAAUGCUUACAGACUUGACUAGUAGUAAGUGUUUUAUUUGAUGUGGGACUUAAAUUUGGGAGGGUUGAUAUACAUGAUGAUGCCACGGGGUGGGAGAUUGAGGAAUCUUUCUCAAUGUCUUAACUGUGGUCAUAAGUAGAAUAUCUAUGUGUAAGGGGUUGAAAAUCAAUAUAAUGAAACGAUAUUAAGGUAAAAUCUUAAUACCUUUGAUUGGCAAAAGAUGGAAGGAGAGAAAAACAGAUGCAAAGAGUUUAGAGAACAAUGGAGAUCUGUAAAAUAUUAUACUUACACUAAAUCCUAACCAUUAAUUUCUAUUAAGCUCACUGUUUAGAUUAUUUCAAUUACUUUAGUUAGUCACGUGUUUUUCACUUCUUCCUACAAGUUCUAAUAUUGGAAAUUCUUACACGAUUAAUUCCAUUUAACACUGUAUACAUUGCACAGUAUAUCCCAACUUAAAACAGUAUUACUAUUUAUACCCCAUAUCAUAAAAGAUGCCCUCUGUGCUUAUCGAAUCCUUUAAAAGAGAACUUUUCAAUAUCCGGAACUUUGAAAAUAAGCUCAUUCUUUAUAUGCCCUCUAUGCAGUACUGUUCCAUGGAGACUGAGAAGGCCGCAGCUGAGUGCGGAGGGCGGUGAGAGGUAAUCAUCUUUUAGGAAGUAGAGCACGUGAUUAACUUAAGUUCAUUUUACAUUUUAUAAUUAAAAUGAUCUAAACUAUCAUAUUAAAUGAAAUUAAAGGUUAGGAUUUGGUGUAAGUAUAAUGUUUUACAUCUUCUAAACAGAUCCUAAUUCUUUUUAUAAUAUAUGUGUAUAAUGUAUAUAAGGGUACUUUGGGUAUUGGGAGUAUUUAUGAUAAUGAAAAAAAUUAAGAAAAAAAAACAAAAGAGGGGUGUUCUUAGGUAUAAAUAAAUAAAUAAGAGAGGGGGAGAGAGAAUAGUUAUAGCAAAAGCCAUUUGUAUAUAAUUGAGCAGAAAUCCUUGCCCACUGAGUGGCAGGAUGUAAAAGGCCCAAACUGUUCUAACAUAUACGUGAUACAAGUUUCUUGGUUGUUUAUAUAAAGGAGACGAAUCUUUGAAUCAGUUGUAUUGAUUAUGUCCGUGCAAAGUAGUAGCUUUUCGUGAUCAAUUAAACAAUUAUUUAAGAUUGACUAAAGUUUAAGAUAUAUAUUAAAAAACUUAAUGGCGGUGUUGUUGAAUGAAUGAACGUGUGUAUCCCUUUUGCUCUGAUUUUAUAAUUUUGUUGUUUCUUCCCUUUGCUUUUCCAUCUUCUUUUUUUCAUUUCAUUUUCGUGCUUUAACCAGAAGGCAAUACUUUAUGCCUGCGCUCCAUUGCUAUCCCCCAUUAGGAUAUGCUUUGUGAUCAAUCAUGUCCAAAAUCAUUAGUAUAUCUAAGAUCAAAUUUCAAUUAAAUUUUUAGGCGGUGUUCACUUUUUUUUUUCAUUUCCAGUAAAUUUAUAUACUUCUAAUUGUAUUUAUUAAAAUAACACAUCUGUAUAAAAAAAAUGGUCAAAACAGUAAAUGUUAUUUCACAUAUAGUUAUUUUUACAACACAUUAGAAAAUAAAAUAAUGAUGUACCAAUUUUCAAAAAUUAGUUGGUAAACUAUUUUAAAAUUAAAUUUGAAAUUAAUUUAAGGAAAAAUAAAUGUAUCUAUACAUUAUGUUUCAAAUAAAAUUUUAUUUUAUGGUCAAUGUUAAUAAUUAACUUAUAUUUGCAUAUUAAUUUACCCAGAAAAAAUUCUAACAAAAAAUAAAAAAAAUAAUCUAAUUCAAAUCAACACGUACAAUUCGAUUCUAUUAUAAAGAUAUUUAUUUUUAAAUUCAUUAAAUCUUUUCCCUUCAAAACCAUCCGAUCUCAACACAGCCUCGACAUUACCCACAUAUAUCAUCUGAAACUUUUAUAUUCAUUCCAGGACAAGCUUUUCGACGAAGUCAAAUGUAACUCAAAUAAUAAUAUAUAAUAGUUGUAUUGUUAUACUAAUUAUCAGUGGGUUUGUACUUUUUAAUUUUUUUUUUUUAGUAUAAUCAAGUGUAUUUGGAUUGACGAAAAAAACUAAAAAAACAUGAUUUUCCACCAGAGACUAGCUUUAAGGUUACUAUGAUUUUCCACUGCGGUUACAAACACGCUGUAAGUCUGACUAAUUCCUUUCCCACCACGGAAUUCAUUAGAGUAAAAAUAUUUUCAAAUACUGUAACCUCAUAUUUGAGAAAAAUAUUCAAUGCUACGACCUUAAUUAAAGGAUAAAAAUAGAAAGUGCCGAACCACUCACUCGAUACUAAACAUUUGCUCAGUAGGGUGUACUUCGUAGUUAGGUAUUCAAUGCUAUGUUUUGAUAUUGCUCCACUUUUUGGUAAUAUUAGCACAAACUUAGAGCAUUGGAUUUUUCCUCCAGUAAAGAAAAUACAACUCCAGUAUUCAAUACUGUGGCAUACUGUCACUCCAUGUACGUACCAUUAAUAGUGACAACUGUCUAGUUUUUGCCAUUUAAAAAUCAUCGCAUUAAAUUAUUAUUUUAGUAAUCUAAAAUCUAUAAAAUUAAAUAUUUUAUUAAUUAAUAUUAUUAGAACAUUAAUUUAAAAAAAUUUAAAAAAAUUAUUGUAUAAAUAAUAGAAGUAAUUUUCUGUCUUACAAUAAAAAUAAUUCUCUUGUAAGUUUCUUUAAUGAAUAUUCUUAUAACACUGGUUAAAAUAUGCUAAAAUUAAAUGUGUAACUAAAUAAAAUGAACAAACAUUGUAUUAUUAUAAUAUAUUAUAUAAUAUAACCCUAAACAUCACACAUUUUCCGUCCUACACAAAAUUUAAUGAUUUUCCUAAAAAGACCAAAACAUAUAGCAGAAAAGCAAGUUGUCACUAGUAAUUAAUUACAUGAUACUGCAGCUCUCAACAUUCUCAUCACUGAAGGUAUGAGUAAUAGGAUCGGCCAUUGGGUGAGAUGGCAUAGGAGGUGGUGGCAUGUAGUUCAUAGAUGGAUGUGACCUACCAUACAUCAUGGAUGUUGGGUACAUGUUGUUAUUCAGAUUUGCUUGCUGAUGUUGAUGCUGCUGCUGGUUCAUCAUCAUACCCAUGUAGUGCUGCUGCUGAAGGUUAUUAUAUGGAGCAUGCUGCAUUUGCACCCCUUGAUAAUACCCACCAUCAUCGUUCAUCGCAGGAAGUCCUUGCACUGAUGGAAUAUUCUUCAUCUGAUGACCCAUUAUUGGGCCUGGGCCCAUCUGGCCUUCUUUGACGUUGUUUUUGGGAUGAGUAAGGGUGUGACCAUAAUCAUGAAAGUCAAAGUCAUUGUUAGCAUGGUCCUCCAAUUUACCUUCACCUUUUUUCCCUUCCUUUCCUUUCUUAUUUUCGCCUCCAUUCUUGCUAUUAUUGGUAUUAGUUGCUUCUUCUAACUCUCCCUUCUUGCUCUUUUUUUUCCCAAAGCCUAGAAACCGACCUAGUAAUCCAUUCUUUUUCUUAUGAUCAUCUCCCUUCUUCUUUUCAACUUUUUGGUUACUACUACCUUUCUUUCCUCCAUAGGCCUCGUUGAAAUUUCCACCUUUGCCCUUGAACAUCAUUGCCUGAUCAAUGACGUCAGCUUUCUUGACACUACUCCCACCAGAAUUGCCUUUAUGGUUGUGAUUUAUGGCAGGCCCAUUCAUCAUAGCAGGAGGCCCAUGAGGCCCACGGCCAUCCCCCAUCAUUGGCAUCAUCUUCUUCUGAUUCAAUGGAUGCCCAUGGCUUAAUCCUUCCUCAUCAUAUUCAUCAAAAUUGUCGUCAUAUUCAUCAAAACCAUCAUCAGAGGCAUCAAAUUCAUCCUCUGGCAAGUUGAACUUGACAGAUUUUUGUUCCUUGGCAGGUACCUUGAGAUCCUGAAUCCCUUUAAUGUUUGGGAAGUGUGCUAGUUGACCAACACCUCCAGCACCUUUCUCUUUCUGACCCUUUUGAUUUUGAGACUUAUUAUUGUCCUUUCCCCCAAGUUGCAUCAUGUUCUGGUUGAUGGGAUACUUGUGAUUGUACAUCAUUUCUCCUUUCUGGUUCUGCCAUAUCUCAGCAUGCUUCCCUCCCCUCUUUAGCUUUUUUACCAGUUUCGCUGGAUCCACAUCUCCUGCCACUACCACUUUCCCUUCAUCUGCAUCUAUUCUCACAGAAUAAACCCCUUCACAACAACAACAAAAUAAGCAACUAAAUCUAAUCCGGCUAGCGCACCAAAAUUGCAACCAUAUAUACAACAAAGUAAGGUUAAAGACUCGAAAUAAUACACUAUACAUCAUAUGUUUAUUAAGUCAUAUAGAACAUAUCUAAUUCAGGAGAGUUACCAGAACAGAAAAGGGCAUGUCAAAGUUAAAAGAUGAAGCAUAUAUAUAAUAACAUCAAAAGAAAUUCUGAAAAAAAUAAAAUAAGGGAGGUUUGAUGAUGACUAAUAAGAAUGUACCAUCGAUUUUCUGCAGCAGUUUCUUGACUUUUUGCUCACAACCAUCGCAGUGGAUAUUAACCUUGAGAACACAGCUCUGCAAUUAAGGAGAGCAGGACCAACAAAAAUCAGUUAACUUACUCAGAAUUGACAUUCAUUGCAUGACAGAAAGAAAGAAAACACACACACACACAAGAGGGAAACAUGCAUAACUGUAACUAUAUAUAUAUAUUUACUUAAUAAUUCAAUUAACUAACACCCAUGCCAUGAGAUAUGGUAACUAGUAUGAAGUGUGUAGUAUACCUGAACUUUCAAGAAGUCUUGUUUACUCAUCCUUUAGUAAUUGUUUCCAGAAGAGAAAGAAAGGAGAAAGUAGGUUUGAGUGAGAGAGAUAUGAGAAGAGUGUUUAAGAUAAGAUAUUGUAAAGGGCGGUUGUAACAAUUUACUUAUUAUCUGUGUUGAGUAGUAUAUAGCACAAGUUUAUUUAUAUAGAAAAAGCACCAAGGCGGUUGCGGAGGCUGGAACCUGGAACUGAAAUAAACAACUAAGAAUAGCUUCUUAUGAAUUGGCUUUAACAUACUAAUACAAGGCGGUCAUCGAAGCUGCAUUAAACAAUCAAAUACUUAAUGCCCCUCACUACUACUAUGCUUUAUUAUUAAAUAAAGCCUUUCAAUGUCAUUUUAUUCUUUUGGUUUUGCUUAUCCCUUCAGUACUUACUACUAAGAUAACUAAAAGUGAUAGAAGGUUAGAGGCAUUAUUGAUUUCACACGGUUCCAUGUUUGGGAAACUUUGGCUCUGAAACCAACACUUUGUUAUUAUUAAUGAAUAGUCUUAAAUAUAAAAAAAAACCACACUAAUUAGAAAAUUAAUUAAUUAUAUUUAAUUGUAUCAAUUUUAAUUUUUCAUUAGAAUUUGAUAUUAAAAAUAAUGAAUAAUCAAUCAAACUAACAUUUCAAUUAAAUAAAACAUAUUUGAGAUAUUAAUAUUAAAUAAAAUAAAGUUAGUUGAAUUUUUUUUUAUAUUUGAAAUUGAUAAUAAAGUGUUUUUUCUUAUUUAUUUGAGACCGGAUGAACAAUGUGAAAAAAAUGAGUAUUACUACUAUUUAAUAUUUUUUUAAAAUAAAAUUAAUGAAUACAUAUAAAUUCUCUUGUCUUAUUAGUGAUAUUUUGUUGCUUACUAGUAAGAAUUGCAUUAAAUACUUUUGUGUUUAUUUAAUAUUUUUAUAUAAUAUUAAGAAAAAUAAUAAACAUUAUAAGAAAAGAUAGCAUUUUUAAUUCUUAUUUCAUAUACUUGAUUAUUAAAAGAAUGAUAAUUUUAAAAUUAUAUGCUACAAGUGAUUUGAUAAUAAAAAUAAAUCUCAUAAGAGCACAUUCGUAUAAUAUAUAAUUUUUAACUUUUAUAUCAUAUAAUUAAAGAAGUAUAAAAUUAAAAUAAAGUUAUAUAUAUAUAUAUAUAUAUAUAUAUAUAUAUAUAUAUAUAUAUCACUAAAAGAGAAUUGAAUAAUGUGUUAGUCAAAGAUAAUAAAUUUUUUAAAAUAGUUAUUUUUAUCACCAAUUUAAAGGAAUAGAAACAAAGUUAUCCAUUGAGUUGAAAAGAAGUUAGGAUGAAAAGCAUAAUUUAAUCGUUCACCAAUAAGAAAAUAGGAUUUUCACUAAAUAUUUUUUAGAUAAACAUUUGGUGAGCAAAUGUGUCAAUACAAGCUUAAAAGAAUACUUAAUCAAGCGGUUUAAGAGAGAAAUAGAAAUAUUUUACUUAUAUUGGUUCGCUCAAACAGAGUUAUGUCUCGUUCUGUCUUACACAAUUAUAAAUAAUCUCACUAAUUAAAACUUUGAUUACAAUCAAGUAUUUUAUCUUGUCUCUCCUGACUAUACAAGUAUUCUUUAUAUCACUUCUGGUACACUCAUAGAUUUCCUAUAAAUUUAAAAACACUCAAGUAUUGUUUAACACUAAGUCACUCACUCUUAACUCUUUCAUAAAUAAAAGUUUGAAUAAAUACAAUGAUUCAAUAACACUCAAAGAGUGGACAAAUAGUUCAGCUCAAAUACAAGUAACUUUGUUUGGCAAAUGAUAAAAAGAUUAAGUGCUAAGUAUGUCGUCCACUAAUUUAGCAAAGUUACGCUUCAAAUUGUGCUCGUAUUUCACUUGAUAUUUUUUCUUCUUCAUUUCUUGAGCAAGAAUUGCCUUUUAUAUAUUUAAGUGAAAAAUUUGUUACAAGAUCAGUGUUAAGUCUUGAUAUGAUCGUUGUCUCAUAGCUAAAGGUGAAACCACAUGCUUUGAAUGACAAGAAUAUGAAUAAAUGUACAAAGAAUUGUAUGUGUUCCUCUUUUGUAAUGAAAACACUCUUGAAGAAUAUUCUACAAAUUCCUUUUAUUUCCUUUUAUUUUGUCAUUUUCUUAAAUUCAAAUGUCAUCAAUUCAAAUAUAGAGAGACAAAGCUGAAAUUCGAGAAGUGAGAACAUGCACUUUCCUUUCUAAUUAACAUUGUCCUUUAAGACCUUGUUGGACGUGAAUUAUAAGGAUGUAGAAUAAGUGUAUGAGUGGUUUAAGUCCAAUAGACGCAUAUAAAAAAAACUCAAUGUGAAAAUACUAAUUUUCUCAAUAAGUGGACGUGGCUAAUUUAAUAGCUCGUUGGAUGCUAAGUAUAUUUUGACAAAAUUGUUUUCCAUUUAAGAGUGAAUGCAUGCUUACUAGAGUUGUAGAUGUUGGUUUAAUUAUAAGUGAACUCUCUUAUGAAAUAGAUCUUAUUCACUUGACAAUAACUCAUUAGUCCAUUUAUAAUUUAUAUUCUUAUAAUCAUCAAAAUCUAAGAUAUGAUAGGUCAUCUAGUGAUCAAUAGACAAUCUAAAACCUAAUAUAUAUUUGAAUGGUUAAAGUAAAAAAAUAUAUAUAUAAUUUUUUAAGUAGUCAUCUGACUACUAAUUGACUUAUUAAUUAUCUUGGCUGUCCGUUAAGAUUGUAUGACCAAGUUUAUAAUUUUCAUAUGUCUCACAAUAAAAAAAAAUGAUAGAUUUAUCUAUGUUCCUGCUGUUAAAAAUGAUAAUUUUAAAUAUAGACUAUUAAAUUAUUUUACAAACAAGUGUGUAUUUUUCUUUUAUCAGUUAGAAAUUAUCAACAACAAAAACUACUCUCUAGCUAACAUGAAGAACACCCCAUAUGAAUCCAAGCCAACAUACGACGGGCACUCUUCAAUUAAGAAUGACUAAAGGAUCACUCGAAAAAGAGUCAGUUUUAGUAACCAAAUCAGCACCCAUGUUACCUUCUCUGAGGACAUGAAUCAUGAUGUAUACAGAUGUUCCACUUAAGCAAGUGAAAACAACUACUUUUUUUUAAAGGCGCAAGUGAAACAACUGCGUGUAUGAGAGUGAGAGAAAAUGAGAUGAAAGCAUGAGAUAAGCAAAUUAUAAUCAUAUAAUUUAAAUGGAUGACUUAAAUUAAAAUUUAAUUAAAACAGUCUUAAUCAUGCAUCUAUCUUCUAUAUACGGCCAUGAUCAAGUUCUCCUUUAAUUUGAUAUGGCCAAUAUUAAGUCAUAACUGAUUCACUAAAAAAAAAGAAGUCAUAACUGAUUCUUAUCAGUUCAACGUCGAGUUGACUAUUCUUAUCAGUUUGACUACAAAAACGAUUUAGUUUUGAUAACAGUGAUACCUGUUUUUUUUUUUUUUUAUAAACACUUGUAUUUCUUCUGAACACAUGAUUUCUAGUUUAUACUGACAUGUCAUAUAUAUGCAACGAAGUUUAGGUUCCGGUUCUUUUAUUAGUGAGCAACUUUAAUUUAAAGGCGGAUAAAUAAAUAAUUUUAAUUAAUGACAAGAAAUUCAAAUUUAAUAUUAUAUAUAUGCAUAAGAAUCAAGAAAUUAUAAAUAUAUUAAAUUUUUUUUUCAAUUAUUAUUAAUUCUCUUAUUGACAAGUAAAAUUACUUUUUUUUUUACUUAUUUUAAAAAACUAAUUUUCAUAUUGGGUUAAUAAAAUAAAAUAGGUCAAACAAUGCAUGCAUGGAGCCACCACUUGGGAAGAAUUAUAAUAUAAAUAUAAUAAUAUUUAUUAAUUAAAAAAUAAUUAUUGAAAUUAUAAUUAAUUUUAUUUUUUACUAUAUUUAUAUUUAAUUUUAUGCUCACAAUUAUCACUCAUUAAUUCUAUAAUUGAUAAUAUAAUUUUUUUAUUAUAUAUCCUCUAAAGUACAUUCUUUUUAUUAUUUUUUAAAAAUUGAGGUAUUCGUUCGUAAACCGUCAAAGUCUAAUAUCUCGAAGUAUGAAAUCAAUUAAAUAACUGUCCUUUUCCAUCAGAUAUUUUUUCAAAUACACAAAUUAUAUUUAAAAUAAAAUUUUAGGUCACAUAUUAAAAGUAUAAAGUUAUUUAUACGCAUAUUGCAUCACCAUGUUGCAACAUGUUAAUAGAAGAGGGAAUGAAAAAUGGGAAAUAUGUAAUUCUUCUCUGGUUUGGUGAGGGCCUACAGGCUACAGUUGAAAGAAAGUGGUAUACUUCCUGUGGCAGCUGUGCCUUAUCUUUGUAAAUCUUUUGCCUUCAUCCUAAUAUAUUAUCAUUGUCUUUUGCCAAGUUAAAAAAAAAAGAAAAAAGAAAAGGAGUGAUAUGCAAUUGAGUCCCACAUGAUUUUUACAACUUGUUCAUAUAUGUACGAAAAAUAAGAGAAGGAAUACUAUUUACAUAACGCCAAAAGUAGCCAUUUUUUAUAUUAUAUUAUUAUUUACGUAAGAUAUUGAUGUUAUUUGGCAUACAUGUUUUUUUUUCUCUGCUUUCACUUGCUCUGAUAUUUUUCUUUUUGAAGGCCACUUUCUCUUCUAUUUUACACACUUAAAAAUCAUUUUACUUUUUGGUUUCUACUCUCUAUUUCUUCAUUCUCUUAUAUUUUUUUCCAGUUUAUUUUCAAAACCAAAUAUACCAUAAAGUAACUAAAUUCAACUUUUAAAUUAGUACAAGAGCAAGGAAAAAGACCUUUCAAUAUCCAUCGCGAUGGUUCUGAGUUCUGACGUACCUUCAUUCAUGUGCUGAACAGUGACCUUUGUUAGGAGUUUGAGCCAGCUUUCGCAACCGCGUGAUACAAUUGCAAUUGCUGCCCCAUAUCAUUCUUUUUUAUGGACCAAAAGUUUAUAUAAUUAUUUUCAAAAUUAAAGAUAGUUGUAAAAGAAGGUGACCAAAAAAAGAACACCAACGGAAAAAUACUAAAAUUCUUUUUCUCUGUAGGAUGCACGUUGUCCUCAAUCAUAUUCUUUUUGUGCUUAAAAAAAUGUAGAGUAUUCAAAUAGUGUUGCGAAUGAAUAUGCACUUGCAAUGGGUACAUAUGUCCAUAUGAUUAUUUGUACUUUCGUGGCAGUACAGCUAAUUAAUGUAGGCAUCUUUACUUUAGUUCUCAGUCGUUGAACUUGAACAUGUCGCGGAAACUACUAAUGCAUGGGAAUUUAUGGUUCAUAGAUGGUCAUGGACUCACCCAUCCAUUCCAUAGCUCUGCUUCUACAUAAAUAUUCACUCCGUUACAAAAUAACGAGGUUUAAGAUUUCUUUACCCAGAACAACAAAGUAGGAAUAUUUUAAGAGAAUUAACAUUUAUUAGGGGACAAUUUUACUAAAAUAUUUUUUUUUCUCUUAAUUUCAAUAAAUGUAUUAUUAAGUCUUCUAAGAUAAGACUAUUUGUUACAUGAUAAAAUUAAAAUAAAUGUUUAAAUAUCUCAUUAAAAAGUGAGAAGACAGUGAAUUUGAAAUUUUUUCAAAGGCUAAAACUGUAAUUAUAUUGAUACGAAGGGAGUAUUUGUGUGUUUUUGUAUAGUGAUCACUUUUUAGUUGUCACUCAAGCCAACUCUUACGUAAUUUACUAGUAUUUUAUAUGUCAUGAUAAAGAGGAAUAGUUGAGCUUCGGAGAGAAGGUAAAAGCAGAAUGGGCCAAGCCCAUCAUGACAUGGACCCAAAAAAAGGAGGGAAGAGACAGCUGGUGCGGGCCAAGCUCCGCAAUGUGCCCAAGAACCAUGGCCCGAACCGAGUGAAGAUACGUGUGGAAGAUCAAUCAUUAACUGUAAUAACUGGGCCGCAAACAAAAAGAAAACUGGGGUAUGCAAGAAACACUAUUAAGACUAUUGCAUCUUGCAUCUUUCAUUGUAUUUGUAUUUUAGAAAGUCUAUCUCAAAAUGUAAAAUUUAUUUUAGAAUGCAAUGAAAAAUAUAAGAUGCAAUAGUGGGAGUGCAGGAAACAAAUGCCACACUAUUAUUGUCUCCAUGCGCAACACUAAAGAUCAAACACACACACAGAAAGACAAAUAACAUAAAAGUGAAACAACUAAAAGGAAAAUGUUUAAUGUUCAUCCAAAUUUUUUGAUGAAAUGGUGUAGAAAAGAGGAGGAUGAAAACAAUAGAGAAAAAGUGAAAAUAUGAUAAAUAUUAUAAUGAAAAAAAUAGAGAUGAAAGAAAAAUGUGAAAAUUAAGUAUCCUACCUAACAACAAAUACUAGAGAAAGAGAGAGAAUUCUCCUUUCAAAUGCUAUAAUCACUUGUGAUAAAAAUGAGAGUUGCAUCAAGAGUGGAGUUGAGUAUAUGAGGCACGAUUCAUGGGUUGGCCCGUUUAACUAGUAACAUGCAGGGCCUUAACCUAGUGAUUCUUAGCCCAUUUGAAUGUAAUUUUAUGUGAGCUAACCCAUUUAAUCCACAACUUCGGUAUAUGAGUUUAUGGAUCAAACUAUUUGAAAAUUUUGAAAUUUUAACUUUUGGAUUUUUUUUUUUCAAUUUUUACUCUUUCUCUCAUUCGUUAUUUUUCAUCACCUAACCUCGCUAUUAUUGAUACUUUUUUUUUUUAUCACAAGUUCACAACAUUCACUGAUCUUCAUUUUGUCGGUGACACUCAUUGCAACCACAAGACCAAACCAACCCAUUGACCUAUCAUCCUCUCUUAUGUUGUGUUUGGUUUAGAGGAUAAAAUUAGAAAGAAUAAAAAAUAGAAUAGAAAUGUUUAAAUUAGAGUCUAGGAGAUGUGAAACACAAAUAAAACCCACACAAUUUUUUAUUUUUUUUAUUUCUCUCCCCUUCCCUUAACCAAACUUAGCCUUAGUUAACAACAAGGAAAAGUAAAGAAUAUUAAGAUAGUUAGCCCAUAGCAUCAUUCAUACAUGAACCACAAGUUUGAGAUGUUGCUACAACUUCCACGAUUAACAUAUAUAUUGUGAUCCUAAGCAAUGUCUGAUUCGUUUUUUUUUUUUUUUUUUUGGUAGGAAUCAAUGCUGCCCGAUUCUAUCAAGAACCCAAUACUUAGCCCCCAAUUUAAAUUGGUCUCUUUAUAUGUGUGAUUAAAAUAAGAAAAAGGAAAUUCAUGAUUCCAGAAUUUAGUUUCGCAAGUGUUGAAAGUUUAAUGAGGUCAUGUGCUAUUUCAAUUAUACGAUUUAAACAUUUUUUAAUCUUUCUAUGAUAAAUAAUUAUAACCAUAAAAUUUAUAUAAUUAUUUAAUAUGAUUCAAUAAUAAUUAAUAUAUUGGAAAGUAUUUUAAUAUUAAAACUGUACAUGUCAACUAUUAGUUCUCUUUUUUUUUAUGCACCUCAAGCUAGAACUACGAAUGUUGAGAUAAAAGGUAGUUUAAUUAGAGGGGGGGAGUAAUCAAAGGCAACAUCAUUUAUGUUGGCGGCUGAAUUAAAAAAUUGGAAUGCAUUUCCAAAUUAAUUAAACCUAAAAUGAAUUGAAACUAACCUUUGGUGUGAAGUUUGAACUGGUCCAAAGGGGAAGUGUUGCGUAACAUUAUUGGUCCAAAAGGAAGCUUCUCAUCGCCAACUAUGACUGAUAAUAUAUUUAGGGAGCAUUACAAAGCAAAUAAUUUAAGAAUUUUAUAUUCAGCUGAAAUUACAAAACUAACGACCGUCAACUAAAGCCAUCAGGUUUUUAAUUUUAAUUCUAUUUUUUUGCGUUUUGUGCAAGCGAUAAGGUGAUAAAAAGCGAAAAGUUAGUUUACAGAAUGGGAAAAAAAAAGUUGAAUUGACACUAAAGUCAAACGAAUAUACUACCUAUAUUGCGUGUGCACUAGCUUUAAUUGAAAAACCAAUAACCAUAUAGCAUAUUUAAAGGAAGUUAAUUUUCUUUUCCCUUUUUUUUCAAAUGACCAGGCAAUAGGGAAGGAAAGUGGCCUGGCAAAUGCCAUAGUUCAAUUUAGAUCACAAAACAGAAGGAAUUUGAUUCUUGUAGGCAAAUAAUGCUUUCACUAAAAAAUGGCACCGAUCCAUAAACUUGUAAUUCAAUUUUCAGUACGUCUCUUGUUUGUCUUUCUCGCAAAACGCGUUAAUCAAAGCGCCACUGGUUCUCUUACGUACAAACGCACCAAACAUGCGGGGAAACAUAAAAAAGACUGAUCAAGACAAACAGAAUAUUUAUUGUUCUCCCUGAACCAGUUAAGAGAGAGAAAUAAGGGCUUUUUCUUAUCAAAAUAGAUUAAAAAUUAAAACUAAGUAUUAUAAUAGGUUGUUGAAUAAAAUAUUUAUUAAAAUGAGUGAUUUUUAUCAUGUAAAAAUAUAAGAGACACAGCUCAUUUUAUGCUUUCAUUUAGUGUCAGUCAAGCACUAAAUACAUGUUUAAUAACUAUUUUGAUAAAUAUUUUGUUAACCAACCCAUUAUAAUAAUUUAUUUUGAUUUUUAAUAAAGAAAGCCGAGAAAUAAGCCUGGAAAAGAGAAAAAGAAAAUUUACGAUUUUGUUCAAUUAUAGAUCUUUCGAAAAUUCCAAUGAUUUCACGGAUUCUAGGGUGAAGCGGGGCAAGUAUAUGGUUCACCCUGGAGAAGCAUAUAAAAGAUGUUUUGAAGUUUGUAGAAUGUGGUUCAUGAGUAGAAUAUUUACUAAACAACCGUUAGGUAUAUAUUAUUUUAAAACGAAUGGUGAUAGUUUUAUUUUAAAUAAAAUAAUAAAAUAAACAGAAUGACAUUAUUGACCUUUGGGAAUACACGUAUUUAUCCCUAGAGUUCCCCACGCCGUGGACGAUUUUAUAUAUAUAUAUAAGGGUAAAUAGUUAUUUUUGUCAAUGUCUUGACAAAUUAUCCUUGAAAAAUAAAAAUUUAAAUUUGUCUCUGAAAGUGAAAAAAGUGAGAUAAAUUUAUUUAUCUAUUAUCAUCAAUGAAAACCUACGUGACGCAUUCAGUGAUGAAUUUGUCGGCAUUUUGUAUAUUUAAGGACAAAAAAAAUUAUUUAUCCAAAAUAUAAUUUAAUUUUUAUCUUCUCCCCCUUUUUAAUCGUUAAAGGCAUAAUAUUACAAUAAACACUUAAAAAAAUAGAAAAAUAAACAUAAGUUAAACAAACAUAAUAAUAAACAAAAUAUUGGUUAAUAAGCACAAUCUAUCUCAUGCUCUAGAAUUUUUAUUCAAAAUAUGAGACUCAAAUAAAGAUGAGCCGUAAUUAAGUAAUCUUUACAAAAAAAAUGAAACCCAACUUAAUAUUGUCACCACCUAAUGUUAUUACAAUAAAAAUUCCAAAGCAAUAGAUAUAAUAUACUUAUUAAUAAAUAUUAUGUUUAUUAUUAUGUUUGUUAUAAGUUAUGUUUGCUUUCUUAUUUUUUAAAUUCUUAUUGUUACGCUUGAAACAAUUAAAAAAUGAAAGAGAGGAACGAAGAUUAAAUUAUAUUUUGGAUAAAUAGUCCUUCUUGUCAUUAAGAUGUGUAGAGUGUUGACAAAUUCAUAUUUAAAUGUAUCAGAUAGAUUCUUUAAUUAAUGUUAAUGGACGAAAAUUAAUAGAAAAAUAAAAUUAUCGCAUUUUUUUUCUUUUGAAAAUUAAAAUUAAAAUUUUUAUAUUUCAAAAAUAAAUUUAUUAUUUCUUUACCAUUCAAAAAUAAAAAUAAUUAUUUAUCCGAUAUAUAAUCUAGAAAAGGAAAGGCCAUUUCCUUUGAAGAUCAGUUCAACGUAUAUAUGUUUCACAACACAAUACACUUUACAUUGUGUACACAAGAUCAAUAAAGACUGACAAACAGCUACUCCUAGAACAUAAAAGAAGCACAAAACAAGCUAGUUCAUGUUCAUCGAUUACAAAAGCAACCACAGCUUUCCCUUUCGCUAACUCCAGCCACUGCUUCUAACUAUGCAACCACUGUUAGAUAUUGUUGGUUUCAAACUCAUUGGUUCAAUUAUUUUUUUUCUUUUUUCUUAUUCUCUUCUCAGUAUCUUUCCCAAGUUAUCCCUUUGACAUCGUCCUUUCUCUCUCAAGUGAUCUUCCUCCACGGUAUGAACACUGAACAGGAACGAUCAGCUUCUGUACCAGAUUUACGACUUCGCCACCGUCGCCGCCUGUUUUCCCCGCUGCGCUGAGGGAAACCGACGGUUAAUGGCUGCAACGUCCUCCGAUUUGUACGUCUUGGGUUUCUUCACCAUAGACCAUUUGCGAACAAGUUCACUAUAGAAGUGAUCUUAUUAUGUAUUCUAUUGAUAAACAAAUUAAAUUUUCUUGAUGUGAGUGAGGCAGAAUCGAGAAAUUCUAUAUGUUGUCUUGAAUGCCAAGACACAAAAUGGAAAAAGUCUAACUGAUAUAAUUUUUUUUAGGUAAAUUAAGUUUUUAGUUUCUCAAAUUGUUUACCUUUUACUUUUUAAUUCCUUAAUUUUUUUAGUCUUUCAUUAAUUUUUUGUUAUUAUUUUUACUCUUUUUAUAUUUUUUUGUCAUUCUUAAUUUCUUAUUUAUUUUUAUAGUUGAAAAUUAGUCUCAAAUAUAAAAUAAAUGAGAGAUUAACAAUAAAUAAAACAUGAACUAUUUUUUAGUAAUAAAAAUAGCAAAAAAUUAAUAAAAAAACUAAAAAAUUUCAAAAAAAAUUAAAGGACUAAAAAUUAGAAACUAAAAAUUUUGAGACACUAAAAACUUAAUCAAUAUUAUUUUUUAUUUUGGGGGAAGAGUAAGUUGUGCAAAAUUCAGUUUAACAUGAAAUGCAUGUUUAUUUUUUGUUUAAAAAUUCAAAAUAUAUUUAAACAAAAAUUGCAGGAAAUAAAUUUAUUUAAAACACGAUUUGAAGUUUUUAAAAUUAAAUUAAACAGCCUAAAUUAAGUUAAUAUUCUAACAUGUAAUUUUUUUAAUAAUUGGAGGCUUAUGAACGCAACCCAAAAAGAGAUAAAAAUAAAAGACGUCGAUGUGAAAAUAUACUACAUAUAUAAUAUAAGGACUCCAUGUUAUCAUCCCCGAUCAAGAGAGCAAAAGCAUCAAGAAGUUGAGGGAGCAUUUCUAAGUUAUGGCCUUUGGCAGAAACUUUGGUUUAAUUUUAUAAGCUAGUGAGCAGUACUAUAAGCUCUCAGCUUUUCGAUCACUGAUAUUUUAUGGUAUGCCUGAUGCUGAAAUGGGUUAAUAUCCUUUCUUCUUGAAAAUUUUCCUACCUAUAUAUUUUAUUAUUUAUUAAUUGCAUUAAAAACUUAAAGGCUAGUGAUUAAUUGAUUCUGUUUGCUUUAAGAAUUUGAUGUUUUCUGUGGAGUGGUAUGCAAUAAUGCAACGAAUAAGGAUCCGAUCGAGGUGGUCCGGCAGCAAUUAAUAAUGGAGAUAAUUCAACUCAUCAAAAAGUUGUGAUUUAGUCAAAUGAUUUUUUAAAAUUAUCAGCUAUUUAAAAAAUAUAAAAAAAACAAGCAGACAUUUUUCUUUUUUAUCUCGCGCUCUCCUUGUUUCUAUGAUUUUUGUGCAGUAAACAUAUAUUGACCCCAAUGCCUACCCUAUUUACUUAUAACAUUCUUAGAAGAAUAACCUUUUUGGAGAACUUAAUACUGUAAACAUUUCUUAAAGCAAAAUGUGAUUAAUUUCUAAUACUUUCUUUUAUAUUUAUUUUCUUGCGCGGGUUGAAAUUCAUAUAAAUCUUACUAAUUUGGAAAUAAAAUCUACUAAAUAAGAAACGCUGUAAGAUCUACACAUUUAAUGAGACUUGUAUAGAUUUCAUAUAAUAAAAGAAAAAGUGUUGUCAAAAUAUGCUGCUAGCAUUUUUCAACACACAAUUAACACUCAUUGCUAUUCUCCUAUUCUUGUCACAUUAUUAUAUUACUCGUUACAUCUAGGUUUAUAUUUAUCUCUUUAGAUUUAUANNNNNNNNNNNNNNNNNNNNNNNNNNNNNNNNNNNNNNNNNNNNNNNNNNNNNNNNNNNNNNNNNNNNNNNNNNNNNNNNNNNNNNNNNNNNNNNNNNNNNNNNNNNNNNNNNNNNNNNNNNNNNNNNNNNNNNNNNNNNNNNNNNNNNNNNNNNNNNNNNNNNNNNNNNNNNNNNNNNNNNNNNNNNNNNNNNNNNNNNNNNNNNNNNNNNNNNNNNNNNNNNNNNNNNNNNNNNNNNNNNNNNNNNNNNNNNNNNNNNNNNNNNNNNNNNNNNNNNNNNNNNNNNNNNNNNNNNNNNNNNNNNNNNNNNNNNNNNNNNNNNNNNNNNNNNNNNNNNNNNNNNNNNNNNNNNNNNNNNNNNNNNNNNNNNNNNNNNNNNNNNNNNNNNNNNNNNNNNNNNNNNNNNNNNNNNNNNNNNNNNNNNNNNNNNNNNNNNNNNNNNNNNNNNNNNNNNNNNNNNNNNNNNNNNNNNNNNNNNNNNNNNNNNNNNNNNNNNNNNNNNNNNNNNNNNNNNNNNNNNNNNNNNNNNNNNNNNNNNNNNNNNNNNNNNNNNNNNNNNNNNNNNNNNNNNNNNNNNNNNNNNNNNNNNNNNNNNNNNNNNNNNNNNNNNNNNNNNNNNNNNNNNNNNNNNNNNNNNNNNNNNNNNNNNNNNNNNNNNNNNNNNNNNNNNNNNNNNNNNNNNNNNNNNNNNNNNNNNNNNNNNNNNNNNNNNNNNNNNNNNNNNNNNNNNNNNNNNNNNNNNNNNNNNNNNNNNNNNNNNNNNNNNNNNNNNNNNNNNNNNNNNNNNNNNNNNNNNNNNNNNNNNNNNNNNNNNNNNNNNNNNNNNNNNNNNNNNNNNNNNNNNNNNNNNNNNNNNNNNNNNNNNNNNNNNNNNNNNNNNNNNNNNNNNNNNNGUAUUUCAGAAUCUAUAAACAAGAUAAUUUUGCAUUUUUUUUCGCUUGCUGUUUUGUUAAAAUCUGAAGUUAACUAACUAACCAGCUUAACAACCUCAAGAGUAUGAAAUUUAGUACAUGACCCAGUUCUUCUAAAACAUAUAAACAUGCUACCUUAUUAAUUAUACACAUUUUACAAAUUUUGCACCAAAAACAAAAUCGUGCCUUGUAAGAAAAGAAAAAACAAAAAAUAAAAACAACGACACGUGGAGGUUGGAGAAACUCAGGUUAGACCAGAGGCCUCGCCGAGUCAACGGCCGUCGGCGGCAAGAUAGGCGCGGUGGAAGACGACGACGACGACGCCGUUCCUUCAACAUCAUUGUUUCGAACCCUAGGCGAUCUAAUAGACAACGCCCUUGCAAAAAAGGGCGCAGCCAUCGAGAAAAUCCACCGGUCCGAUUUCAAACUCCGGUCCAACCGCCUCGAAAUCUUCCCCCUACUACUCCCUUCUCCUCCGGUUCGGUAACCCUGCCGCAAACUACCUUCCCUGGGUAACACGAUCAAGCUACUCGCACGUUGCAAUUGGCGGUUUAUUAAUUGCUUCCUCACCUCCAAAGGCAACCUCAAAGUGAACCGGUCAGUGUUUUCUCCCGGUUGGACCAGCGAGUGCCCGGUCGAGUGCGACCUUGGAAACCUCCGAGGCCGGUUCGACCGAGACCCUCGCGUGCGGUUCCGGUUCAGUGUUUUGUCCAGGGAAACUACUUCCGGUUCAGGUAAGACUGGGUCAGCCUCCGCGUUCUGCUGCUCUGGCGCCGCUUCCACGGCGUCGUUUUGGGCUUCAAUGUCUCGCGUAAACGUCUCCGGAACUGGAACAACGCCGUUAGCGUUACCGUUAGCAAUAGCAUCCUCGGAGUCGGUGGGAACGAGGUUGGCGCGGCACACGGGACACGUGGUGUGGGAGCCCAACCACUCGUCGAUGCACUCGGGGUGGAAAACGUGAUCGCACUUGGGGAUCAAACGCAGCGUUUCGGUGUCCUCGAACUCGCACAAACACACCGCGCAUUCCAACGCUUCUUUUCCGAUUUUGUGGAUCUUAACCUCGGAGUAUUCGAGGAUUGGGAAUGUUUGGAUCACAGCUGGGUCAAGCCCACGCGCGGCCCUCCGGGAGCGUGCGGUAGUGAGAGGGCUAACGGUGGUGGAAGGGGAAUCGGCGCAGUGGCGUACGUAGAUGGAGAAAAAAGCCAUGAGGAAAAGCGCGGCGACAAGUAUGACUAUGAUUAUGGCUAUGGAGGGGCUGAACUGGUUGAGGUUUGCGUCGGAGAAGUCAUUGGGCUGGGAUUGGGCCUGCGCGACGGCGAUGGGGAUUAACGGUGACACCAGAAGGAGGAAUAGGGCUAUGUGAAUGUGCUUCUUCAUUGUGAACAGUGAGGAGAAGACGAAAAGAGAGACAAGAGGGGUUUUAUUUUAAACGAGAGUGAUGUGAGAGAAUGGUCAUAGACGGUGUGCAUUAUUCAAACGUGCCCCAACUUACAGCUAGCAUGGGAAGCUUCCGCGGAAACUCAUCAUUAUAUGACUUUCACAAUUCACACUUCACUCACCGCCUGUGUUUCCAUCUUAUAAAUUUCUGUUUAAGGUCAAAUAAGUAUUUUGUUAUGAAAUUAAAUUUAGUUUAUUUUAAUCUAAAAUCAAUUUUAAACUCAUAAUUAAUUCUAAUUUUUUAAACAUAAAAAUAUAUACAAAAUUAAUUCUUAACAUCAAAUCAAACAUUCAUACCAAUUGCAUCAAUUUAACUACUUGGCUUGUUUUUUUACGCAAUUCUAAAUUAUAAUCAUCUAAGUUUAAUAUAUCAAAUAAUUUAAAUUAAUAAAAUAAAACAGAUUAUACCUCCAGAAUAUUUUAUAUAUAAGUUGAUGAUUUGUCUCAUAUUUAAUCAACUACCAAAACAUAAUAAGUGAAAAUGGGUAAAUUGAGUUGUUAUGUAUUAUGUUAUUUUAAAUAAAUCAAUAUUAGCCUUAUCGAGAUCCCUACAUUAAAAAAAAAAACAUUUUAACAAAUUAACUGACGAUUUCAAACAUUAGAGUUGUGAAUUUACAUUAUCUGGGCAAUUACUUUCUGGCACGAAAUUAUUACAUAAAUUUACAUUCCAUCUACAGUUGUACACCCUGUGAUGUGAGUAAAAGGAAAUCCCUCUCCGCUGGUUAGAAAGUAAAUUCCUUCUAGAAGUCACGUGUUUUAUUUGAGUGAUGUUAAUAUGUUAUAACCAUCUUAUCAUAUCUAUAUUUUUGCUAAUUUUUAAUAUUUUAUAAAAUAAAUGUUAAAUAAAAAUAUAAAUACAUAUAACAUCAUAAAAACAUAAUAUGAUAAUAAUACUAUUUUGUGCUAGAUUCAAGACAUGGCAAUAAAAAAGAUAAGAUUGUCAUCCACCUAGUCUAUUUAUUAAUAAAAUUAGUUUUAAUAAAUUACGAUCAACCAAAUGUUGUUGAUAAAUUACUUUUACGGUUAUUAAAAUUAGUUCUGAUAUAUGCAUAAAGAAUAGUUUUGAUAUGAGUUAGAUUUAAUACAUAGUUCUAAAAAUUAUUGAAAAGUAAUACUGAAAAUUGUUUUUAAAACAAGCUUAGAGUUAGGAGAACUAAUAAAUGCAGUCAAAAAAGGAAAACUAAUGAAAAUUGAUUCAAGUACACAGUUGAUUUUCAUUGAGGAAGAUAUUAGAUUCGAUCGCUAGUAUUAUGGAUAGAAUAAUUAAUAUAUCUACUAUAUGUAGUCUAAAAUACUAUACUUUAAUUCUGAAGGCAUGUUAGUUAAAAAUCAAAAGUUAUUUUCUUUAAUAAUAUUGUUACACAACACAAUACACUUUUUUUUUGUAACAUAUAAUGUUUAUAUACUUCAAUUACAAGCAAAGAUAUUGUUAAAAAAUAGUUUAGUAAUUAUUAUCAAUUAUCGUGCAACAAAAUUUCACGUAUGACAAACCUCCUAUAAGAAAGAGUUUUUAAAUCACAUACUAUCACAAUUAAAAGUUUGUGACAAUGCUACAUAACGCUCAUAAAAAAACAAUACUAGAUAGUAGAUAAAGCUUAACAUUAAUUACAUAAAAUUGAUAUAAGUAUAGUGCGACGUUUAAUCUGGCUUGAUUCGAUUUUAACUAGAACUAAAAUCAAACCAAACCAUAUAAAGAGUGUACAAUUUUUGCAAUUUUUAUUGAAUCACCUUUUUAAAGUCUUUCUGGACCUUAUGGUAAUUUAAACUAAUAUGGUUUAGUUUUAAACGCCCUUAAUAAUCCCCUUAAGAUACUUGUUAAUAAGACCCAUAUAUAUAUAUAUAUAUAUAUAUAUAUAUAUAUAUAUAUAUAUAUAUAUAUAUAUAUAUAUAUAAUAUGUAAAUAUUUUAAAAUUUAAAAUUAAUUUCAUGCACAACUUCAUCUAUAUAGAAGUAUUAUAUUGGCAUAAUCAUAAAUCUUAAAUGAACAAGAUAUAUAAGUUCUUAUUGUUGAAAGAAUAAUACUAUGAGUCCAUUUGUUUAAACUUUAAAAAAGAUAAUUGUGAAAAAACAUCUUUAUAAAAAAAAAUUCUUCUAAGAAACCACUUAUUAAAAAAGGUAAAGAAUUAGUUUUAAAGCAAAAAUAGUUUAAAUAAACACAACAAAAAAUAUAAAAAAAAACACUUUAUUUUAUUUUAGAAGAACAUUUUUUAAAAUAAAUAAAAUUACAUUAUAUGUAAAUUUUUUUAAAAAAGGUAAUUAUUAUUGUUAAAAAAUGUGUGAAAAAUACUCUAAAGCCUAAACAAGAAUUUAUAAGAAGGUUUAAAAUCAUUUUUAAUUAAAAGGACUUCGGGUAGCACUUAAGAGUCCUGCUAUCAUGAAGAAGAAUAAAAAAACUCCAAUAAACCCAAAGAAGUAAAAAAAAAAAAAAAAAAACUUACCGCAAAGUUUGACCAAAUCUCGUACAAGUUUUGUAACCAUGGAAUCGAGUAUCAAUUUGCAUUCAUUAGUAGUAGUAUGGUGAAGGUUGGAUGCUUUCUUUAUUUUUUCGUUGAGAGAAAUGAAGGUUGAUUAUUUCCUCCUUUCCGUAUUACAUUAAAAAAUUAAAAUAAGAAUUAUUUUGAGACUUAUUUUUACACUAUAGUUAUUAUGAAUCAGAGAUACUUAUUAGUGAUUAUAAUUUUUUUAUUGCAGUUAUAUGAUAUCAGAAUCAUCAGUAGACAUUUAACUUAAUUAAUUGAUUUAUUGACUUAAUCAAAAUGUACCGGUCCAUUAACUAUUGAGCUUGGACAAUCACACAAGUUUUGUUUGCAUUGCUGAUGUUUUGUUUUGUUUUUUUCUUGUAAAGUAUAUAUUGGCCAGUAAUUAAUAAUAGAUAGUUUUUUUAUUAUUAAAAAGCAAGUAAAACAUGCUUAAAAUUUGUAAUGGAACAUACUAAUAAGACCUUUAAUAUUUUUUAAUUUUAACUCGCUAACCAAUAUUUUAAAGAUAAUGACAAAAACAUUUGUUGUUGUUGUUUUUUUUUCAUUUUUUAAUCAAUGAGAUGGUUUAAAGCCCAAACAAACUAAACUUUGACUGGUUCUUGCAGUUGACAGUCGAUCAUACCCGAAUAGAACAGAAACAAAGCAGAAUGAAAGUCAACGUUCUUGAGGCUCAUAGUCAAGAGAUGAAACAUCUUUAGUCAACUUGUUCAUGAAUAAUUUUUUUCUAAAUGACAGGUGUGCUGCCACAACUUUUGUUACAUCUCCAGUAUCGUUGACUAAUAUUGGUUAUACUCAAUGUAAUUUUUUUUUUGCUCUUUCGGGAUGUUAUACUAAAUUUAUCUUUAAUUCUUUAUACAAAAAUAUUGGUCCCUCAUAGUUAAAAGUUUUAAGUGUAUAAGAAGUUCACAAACUUUGUCCGUAGUAGAGGUUUUUAUCUAGCUUUCAGUAUUGGAGAGGGAAGAGUCUGAGUCAGUGAUGUUUACAUUACAUUUUGCUAAGGACGUCAUGGGGGAGACAAACUCUGAUGGCUUAGACUUUGGAGUUUGAAUAAAAAGAUUUAAAUGGUAAAAAACAUCAAAAGUUUGAAGAAACAGAUGUAGGUGAUGGCAAUCGGCGGAAGACUAAAGGGAAGGAUAUGUUUGAAUAAGCUUUUCUCAAAAUAAGAAGAAACAAAGUUUUUUUCUAAGAUAAAAUUAAUUAUUUAUUAAUUAAUUAUUAGUUAAUUUAUAGAUGAAUUUUAUAUUUUAGAGAAGUUAUAUAAGAUAAAUUUUAUAAAUUAAUUAAUAGAAAGUUUAUUUUAACUUAUAAUUUUUUUUUCCUAGAAGUAGUUUUAAAAAGACUUGGCCAAAUAGGCUCAAAAUAACUACACUUAGUUACAUGACUUCUAGAAUCACGAAUUAAUACAAAUUAAAAUUUAGAUUGGAUUUUAAAAGUCUUUGGCUCUUUGCUAAAUAUAUGUUCGGUACAGCUUCAUCUGACCUAAAAAAAUAAUUAGCAUGGAAUAAACAAUCUACUUUUUUUUUAAAAGAGACAUGUAUUUUCUAUUGAAAACAUUAUUACUUGAGUGAGUGGUUUCAACUUGGGUUUAUAGUCAAUAUUUUUUUAUAAAGUUUUAAAUUAUUAAAAUUAAAAUGCUGGUAAAAUAUUUUGAUAUAUUAAUUUUUUAUAUUUAUUAUUAUUAAAUAAAAUACACAUAAAACCUAUUGAUAAAGUAGUAUUUUGAUAUAUUAUUCAAUUACUGUAUAUUAAUUUUACCAAAUAAAAAAAUAAAAAAAUAUGUAGUUUUGAACAAAUAUCAACUAAUAGGAGAUUGUGUAUCAGAAAUAAUGUGUUAUGAAACGAGAUGCUAGCACUUUUCUUGGUAAAAAGAUAAAAUGAAGAACCACUGAACAAUAGAAAAGAAGAAAACAAUCCAUUUUUCUUCAAUUUGAAAAUGAGUACUAUAGGAAGGAAAGAAAAAAUCAGUCUGUUAUUUUUUAAAAUCCGAAAAAUAGUCUGAUAAUUUGACCCAUCUCUAAAAAUUAACUACUCAAUGUGGAUCAGCUGUUUGGCCCAACUGAAUAUGCUUUAGGGCUAACUUGUGACUCAGCCCAAACUAUUCAGGUUUGCCCAACUUUAUGUCUAAAACAUACACUUUACGCUGGAAGCUUAAAUAUUUUAUCGAAUAAAUUCUAUGCCUAAGCCCCGUAUUUCACGGGAGAGAGGUUAAAUCAUACUUUCUUCCCAAUUUAAUGAAUAUAAAAUACUUAAAAAUUUAGGUAUAUAUGUUUUCUCUACUUCUAUUGUUACCCUGUUAGAACAAACCUUGAUUUAAAUAUCGAAAUUUAUUUUCGGAUAACUACACUUUAAUUUCUACCGAUUAAGUGCGAACGUACUUGCUCUACAAUGAUUGAAGGUUGGUAUUACAAUUUGAAUGUGUUGUAUGGAUUAAUAUGCACUUUUAGAUAAGUUUUUUCUUAAUUAGUUCACAUAUAUACUCCAUCCCGAAAUUAUUUUUCUAUUGUACAACAAUGAUACAAAAGAAUUGAAGGUCUUAAUAUGCAUGUCUAACACCCUGACCACCGUGUCAUCAUAUGCGCAAGCCACGACCAAAUUAACUGUAGAUAAUUUACUAUGUGCCAAAUUAAUGUCUUAUAGUAUCGAUAAAGAUUCAUUUAUUUUGAGUUUGAAUCUUAAAUUAAAUAACCUAGCUUCGGUUACGUUGCUGCGUGAGGACUGGUUAUAUAUAUAUAUAUAUAUAUAUGUGAAGUAUGAACCAAUUAAAGCAUGCAUAAUGGUUUAACUAUAUGCAGUCACAUCUGCCUUUUCACUUACACGAACAAUCUGCAAUUGCAGCUAGAUAUACAGAACCAUUCAGAAAUAUGCAACAUAUAGGAGUUGGUUCCCUAACUUCCCUUAAUUAGUUGAUCUUCUUGUCAUGACAAUCACCAGAGUUUGGUUGGAAAUUAAUAAUAUUGUUAAUAUACCUAGGCCAAUAUAUAAUCUAACUGUAUAUAUAUUUUAUUUAAAUUGAAGUUAAUGUUUUCAACGUCAACUUUAUUAUGGGACCCUAAAAAACAAACAUGCAAGAUAAACGAAUGGACAUGAAUGUCGAAAAAGUGUCCUCUAGGCCACUUUUAUUUAGCUCCUAUGCAAUUUGGAAUUUUGUUUAGGCACAAAGCAAUAAUUAUCAUCAUAAUCAUGAUAAGAAAUUAAGAAAUAGAAAUUACUGAACCCUAUCCGUUUUACUCCUUUUAUUUGAGAUCAUCCAUAAGAUUCCCAAACAAAACUUCUUGCUCUUAGGACCGAUAGCGUGAUAGAGAGUAAGACAGCCUUUAAAAGUUCGUAAUUAGCACAAAGUACGUGUAAUGUAUACCACCACGCAAAUCUAAGUUUAAGGUUCAUGAACUCUUCCGUAUUGAUAGUAUUAUUUUGGUUAAUUAAAAGGGCAAAUGAUUUCUUAGGUUUCGUUAGUGCUUUUCUUUUUGCUAAAAAUUCGUAUUCUACCUAUUGUUAAUAGAGUUUUGAAUAUGAAAUGGACAAGUACAAUAAAACAUCACUCUUUGAAAAACACUCCAUUAUAUUUAAAAAGGUUUAAAUAUAUUUUUGGUUCACAUAAAAUAGUAUUUUUUAUUUUGGAGGUAUUGUAAGUUAAUUAUUUUAAAUUUAGUCCUUAUAAGUUUAUAUCUUUUAAAUUUUGGUCUUCAUAAGAUAGUUUGCUCAUUUUUAGUCCAUGUAAAUUUAUAUUUUUUUAAUCUUGAUCUUUAUAAACAUGAAUUUAUGAGGAUUAUAAAUGAAAAAAAUUAAAAUCUUAAAAAAAUUAAAAUUUAAGAAGAAAAAAAACUUACAAGAAUUAAGAAUGAAUAAAAAAAUUUACAAAAACCAAAAUUAAAAAAGUGUUAACUUAGAAGAACUAAAAUUGAAAAAGUGAACUUAGAGGACUAAAAACAGAAAAGGACUAACUUACAUGGAUAAAGACAUAUUUAAACAAUUUGCAAACGUAAUUUUGUUGCUUGUGAGCAUUUUGAGGGAGGAGACGGUUGUCUUAUACUUUUUUUGAAAAAAAUCCAAGCAAGAGUCUCAUGCAUGUUAAGCUAGAAUCAUUUUUUUAAAAUUAUUUUAUUGGUGUGAAAUAUAAACCGAUUUUAUUAACGACUAAUUUCUCUAAAAAAAAAUUCAGUUGAUCAAUUAUAAUAGAAUCUCAUUUCCAACCACAUUUGUUUUAUCUCAUAUUGAACUAUUGAUCAAUUAUAGUAGAAUCUCAUUUUCAACCACAUUUGUUUUAUAUGAGAUUGAACUAUUUUCAUUAAGACCAAUGAUUUGUUGACAAAUAAAAAUUAUAUUUCUUUUUAGUUUAUAUCUUAGUUUCCAUGGCCAAGUUAAACAUUGAUUUGAUUACACUAAAAUACGAGUUAAAAAAUUAAGUUAUCCAUUUAUAUAUUUAAUAUAACUACAUAUAUAUAUAUAUAUAUAUAUAUAUAUAUAUAUAUAUAUAUAUAUAUAUAUAUAUAUAUAUAUAUAUAUAUAUAAGUGAACUCGAUACAUUUAGUUAAGUUGAAACUAUUUAAUGUUAAUUGAUUCACAUGCUAGAUAAUAAUAUAUUUAUAUUAAAAGAGUGUAACCUUAUUUUUAGAUAUUAUUUAAAAUGUUUUAAUUUUUAACUUCCAACUUGUAAUAAUUUGUUCUUUUUUCACCCUAAAAAUAUUUAUCAAAUUUUCUUUUGACUCUUUUUACUUUCACCUUUUUUGGUUUACUUAAGUGUAGGAAAUUUUAUUUUAUUUUAAACUUGAUUGAAAAUAUUUAAGAUAUUACAUAAGUUUAAUAUUGUACACACACAUUUUAAGAUGUUAUAUAAGAUUAAUAAUAGCAUGCACACACACAACAACAGUCACACUCAAACUCACACUAUGAGAAACAUAUUAUAUAAGAACCACCUUCAUAAAUAAGAAUAACACGUAACUAAUCAUAAAAUGGUACGUUUAAUUAGAAUAAAAUACUUAAGAAUUGAAAUUCAAAUCUCGUGCAACCAUUAAAUCUCUAAAAGAUUUACCCAAAAAAAAACAAAUGUUUAAAAGCUCAAUUAUCACAUCCUAAUAAAUCUUAAUUAUCUUAUCAAUCUUUUCAAUAUUUUCAUUAACUUAUUACUAUCACCAAUAUGAUCGUUGUCACCACCAUUGUCAUAAUUGUCGUCACCAUCACUACUAUCAUUACCAUCGCGACUAUUGCUACAUCCAUAUUGUCAUGAUUGACCUCGCAACCAUCAUUAUGGUUGUCAUGACCAUCGCUGACAUUGUUGUUUACGCUAUUGUCAAUGGUCAUGGUGGUGAUUACAACGGGUGUCAUGGCGCUUGUGGUGAUAUGUUAGCAUUAUGACAUUGUUGUCAUCGUUAUCAUUAUCAUUGGUUAUGGUGAUGUUAGCAGGGAUAAUUGACAUGGUGGUGAAAGUGAUAACGAUCAUCAUAAUCAUGGUGAGGAGGAUCAUGGCAUUGGUAGUGAUUGGUAACAAUAAUCUUAAAGAAGAAUGACAUGAUAAAUGAGAUCUUUUAGAGAUUUGAUUUUUAUUGGGUAAAUCUUUUGAAUAAUUGAUAGUUGUAAAAUUUAAAUUUAAAUUCUUAAGUAUUUUAAUAUAUACUUUUUAUUUUAAUGUAACAAUCAAAAUUAAUCAUUUUCAUUUUCACGUAAAAAGAUUAUUUCAUGUGAUAUGUCCCAUAUAUGUGUAUUGUUUUUUUGUCUCAACUUCACUUCGAUCUGAACCAAAUAAAGUCUACAUGAGAAUUAAUAAAUUCUAAUUUUUAAAUUUUAUACAUAUAUAAGUCAUGUGGAUUUUUUAAAUUAUAUGACGACUCUUUCAAUCUAUGUUAUGAUUUCAAAAAACUUAUAAUUAAUUUUUAUGAUCUAUAUAUCGUUGUUUAACCUAAAUACACGCACUAAAAAUGGUAUCUACUAAGUGAACUCUUAAUUUAAUAAAUGAAUUAAUGAAAUUGAAUAUCUACUAUAAUUUAUUAAGUGAAAUUAAGUCUAUAUAUAUAAUAUUGUUUUAUAUUAAAUAGCUAAAUAUCUAUUAUUUGUAAUUAAUAUUUCAUUAGUUAGAGUUGAACUGAAUUUAAAUAUUUUAAACAAAUUUUUGGUUUGAAUUUUAUGAAUAAAGAAAACCUAAUUAAUUAAGAAAGGAAACUUAAUUAAAUUAAAAAUGAUUAACUAUAUUUUUCUCUUUAAGUUAUCAUAAUAUUAAUGCAUAAUAUUUAUCAAAUUUAAUGAUAAUUUUUUUAAGAACACAUCUGGUUAUCUUUAAAAGAAUCUUUCUUUUUAAUUAUCUAUUUUUUAUCUAUAAAACUCAAUUCUAAUAUUAUUGUUCAUAACAUCGAGUUGAUGGUAACUAUAUGUUCUACUCUAAAGAUCGGUAAUCGUGGACAGUGGUUUUUUCACUAAAAAAAAAAUGUAUAAGUUCCGCAUGGUAUGGUUCUCAUAUUAUUAUUAUUUUCUGAAACGUGCAUGUCAAUGGUCAAUCUCAUUGUCAAGUUCAGGGAAAGUGUGAACGUGUUUGUUUGUCUUGUUUGUUAGAAAUCGGACGUGGAAACCACUUUCAACUUUGGGAAAGUGGUUUCUUCAUUGGGAGCCGUUGUUUUGAUUGCUACUAUACCCUCGCUGGGAGGGUACUGUGCAAUACUGUAGUGUGAUGUAUGGGCGCAGUUGCGUCACAGGGGAGACACGUGUAUGACCCAGAUGAAUCCACAUUUGGGUGCCAUUCCAAAUGCAUCAUGACAAACGUCCUUUAUGUCCAAUCCAACAGCCUAGAGGAAUUGCAAAUCAGCUAAAGAUAUCUUUUUCCUCAAUAAAAAGCUCAAACACUAUACCACUACCACCCCGUGUAUAUAUACACACACGCGUAUGCAUGUAAGUUGUAACCUUUGUUUAAAUCAUGCUUGCAUAUUCUAGGGUUUUGGGUCUUGCAUUUCGCAUGGAUGUUUAUCAAUAUUGUAUUAUCAUAUAUAUAUAUAUGGGAAAGUUUUACUUCUAAAAAAACACGACGGCACGUAUAUAAUAUGGCACACACGGCUAUAAAGAUAUAUUCAUUCGCAGAAAUAUAAUUAAGAUGGACAAGAGAAACAGUCGCCCUUGCUCACGUGGGUGAGUUCAAUAAAAAAUUAUCUUAGUUUUUAUUUUUUUCAUUUGUGGUUUAAAUUUGUUGUCUUCCCUCUGUCAAAUUUGGUCGACUUGUCGAACACACACAUUUAUAUAGUUCCGUAUGUUUAGGUGAGGUAAGUGAAAACCAACAAAAACCUACCUACCAACAAGCUGUUUUUCUGUUUAUGUGGCAACGUGUGCUCACAGAGUGAUCGGUAUGGAUCUUCAUAUAAUGAAAGAACUUAAUUAUAGUCUGAACACGAAUUGACGAUUUCAUUUACGAAUAAUUACGCUUUAGAAAACUGGAGAAAGGUUCCUUUCACCUGGAGAUCACCAAAACGGGCCUUGAGAAGAAUUUGAUUGGAGGCGAAUGAAUGAACUUUCACUGUGAGAAUCAUAAUAAUUAUGCAAAGGUAUUUUGGAUGGUGACGUAAAGAAGGGUAGGUGAAGAUUGUGGGCAGUCCAAGAAAUUGAAAUGGAAUUUGCCUCUACAUUAGGUUAUACAUUUGUGGAAGAAGAUUUUCACUUUUGCUAUUGAUUUCCUCUCUGAAUUGGCUUUUAAAAUAGACUCUUGUGCCUCUGGUUAAUUGGCAGCUGAACUCAUGAUUUAUUUAUUUAUUAUUAUUUGUUUGUGAAACUGUGGGUUGAAUACAAACACAAACACACUCACAUAUAUACGAGGGAAUAAAGCAUUGAUUAAAAAGACCCACAGCACGCAAGGUGUGUUUUCACAUGUUGAAAGGAUCAAAAGUGACAAUAAUUAAGUUUUUGUUGCUGAAAACUGUGUCAAAUGUUUUUUUGCUUCCACAGUUCGGGGGAGCCAGCAAGUGAUGAAAGAACAAGGCGAUGAUUUCCUUGGUAAACUAAUAUUAUUAUGAGGCUUUGUGCUUUAUAUUAUAUUUUAUUCUAUGCAUAAUGCAUUAAUAUUGACAGCCAGCUAUAAGACAAAUGGAAGUUCGCUUUAAUACUCCACUGAUUAACUAAUUUAGGAAACGACAAAGAUAUUCAAUUAUGAUAACAAUACAAUGCAUGCCCGUGCUUCAUUUGCAUGUGUGUUGAUUAUUUGUUUUUUUAAUUCGUUAUACCAGAGGCUAUCGACGUUUAUACAGGGGAGAAUCACACCACAAAAAAUGACAGUUUAUUUUAGCAACUAAGUAUUAAAUUUGUUUAUAUUAGAAACUAAUUAGGUUCAGAGUAAGUGUUAAGAAAUAGAAAAAUCAUACGAUCAGGGCUGAAAAAAUUGGAGAAGAGGAAGGUCAUAGCCACUUAACUUUUCAAAACUUAGAAAUUCUUUAAUUAUUUAAUUUUUAGUAAAAUAUAAUUUUAAUAAUCAUGAAGUAGUUCCGCCCCUAGAUAGAAUAAUACUAUAUACUAGUUACACGAUUCAUGUACAUUAAUAUUGCUUAUGGUCUUCGUAAUUGAUUAGAAAAAAGAACUUGGACAAUACAAUUCAAUUUGUCAAUGACUAACUUUCUGAAAAUUUUAAGGUAAAGACUGAACUUAUUAUUAUUUAGUUAUAAAGACCUUUUGAUAUUAUAUAUGCGAAAGAUUGAUUAAUAACUUAAACGGUUAUUACUUACCCAAUAUAAUAUGUCUGUUUAGUCAUACGGGUUUAAUCCUACAAGCAAAGUUUUCCGUUAUGAUAAAUAUUAGCUAAUAUAAUUAAUCUCACAUGAAACAUGCAUGGAGAUUCAUAUGAGAGUGAGCUGCAAUACACUCGGGUAAACUUAUAUAUAGACCAUUCAUGAUUCAUGAACAUGCAUGUUAAUCAUUGGGAUAAAUAUAAUUUUUCUUGUUUUGUUAUCAAAAGACAAAUCUUAUCACUACCACAAUCAAAUGUCAUUACUAGAUAUUUAUCUUUACCAAUGACAUAAUUAUCGCUGAAAAAAGUCCUUGUAAAUUUGAUUAUUUCUUAUAGAAUAAAUUGUGAGAUUGAUUACAUUUUAUUGCUUAGUGUUGCUAAUUGGCAGAUUGGUUCGACUUCCAAACACAUCAAUCGUAUCAUGAAUCUUUCAAAUGGAUCAUCCUUCAAGUUGGUGAUGAGUGGCAGUGCACGGAAAGUUGCCCUUUUCACGUUACAUUAUAUUUCUCCCAGUCCCAGGGUUUAGCUCUUUUGUUACACUCACGCUAGUUGUUUUCCACCAUAUAUACGUUGGAGAGUACUUGCAGCUGCAGGGUGCAAAGAAUUGGGUUAUAUUGUUGGAAGAUACUUGGUUUGCAUUGCAGGGAAUUUGGUUUUAUAUAUAUUUUUGCCCAUUUGGUAUAAAUUGUAUUUUUGUGUUUCAAUUUAUGUGAUUUUAUCAUCAAACUUAUUGUGUAUGUUAGUUUGUAAUUAAAUUACAGUGUAAUUUUUUAUAAAUAUAUAUAUAUAUAUAUAUAUAUAUAUAUAUUAUAUUGUUGAUCUUAUUUUUUAACCAAAAAUAAUGGUUAGAUAAUGUUAUAAUUUGUUAGAAAUGAUAAUAUCAUGACCAACAAUUUGUUGGUUAGAUUGAUUUGAGAUAAUUUUUUUAAGUAUAAUCUUAAAUUCAAGUAAAUAAAAAAAUAUAAUUAAAAUUUAAAAGAAGAAAAAUUUAAUAAAAAUGAUCCAUCAUAAUUUUUUUUAAAUGUGUAAAUCUUCGCUUCAUUAUUGCAGGUUGACUUGUGUAAUUUAGUGUUUUGCCUCUGACAUGAACCAGCCGGCCUAAUGCCUAAGCAAUGUCGUAGCCCUAACCACGUCCACUCCUAAUUAAUUAUAAUUGUAAUUUGUGUGGCUUCACCAACUCAAUAUCUCUCAGGUCUUUGAACGUCGCUGUGGAUUAGGCUUCACAGAUCACAGCAUUUGGACACUGUCCCUUCGGCGUCAAAAUUCAAAGAUAAGCUUUUAUUCUUAUGUCCUAUUUCGUAGAGCUGGAGAGAAAAAUAAGGUGGUUGAUUUAUUUUUUUUUUAAAAAAGUGAAAAGGGUAAAAUAAACAUAUAAAACUAUAACAUCAUAUCUAACAGUGACAACUCACAAAUUAGGAAUUGAGGCGAAAGAUUAUCAAGGAAAACAUUUGCAAAGGGUGGAAUUUUGAAGAAUUUAAACCCGUUACUUCAUAAUUUAUACAUAAAUAGACUGUCCGACUAAGUGGUAAAUUAUAGUAAGUGCUUGCAUCCUUUUAGACCAUAUAAGUUACUAAACUAUAUAUACAAACGUAAUUUUGUAUGGCGAAUCUACUAAUGUUACCAUGUAUGAUCAAUCUAUCCAUGAAUCAACGUAUCACCAUUUUGUUCUUCACGUUAUUGCGUACUAUCUCCCAAGUGCUAGAGCACAUAGAAUCACACCAUAAACAUACUCAAAGUUUGAUUUUUUAUUCUGCCCCUUGGAAUUUUAAGGUGUGUUUUUCAGAGGCUAUGACGAAGAGCAAGUUGGUGUCUUUGAAUGAGAAGCUAAUGUGUCAAAGCGUAGGUUGGAAUUGCUUCAACUUCAAGCGGGCAACGCUUCGACCAACCCUAGCCUUCUCUAUUCGCAACUUUGGAAUAAUAAAAUCCUAUGACUCUUAAGCUCAAGUUGUUGCAAUUCUCUGAGUUUUACAAUGUUUGACAUAUGUACAUGUCGUCGACCCUGCUGCCCCUUUGAUCAUCUCUCUAAAAUUCUGGAAGCUGAUGUAGAAUCUCUCUAAAACGGAUAUGGAAACUACAACCUGGGAUCUAGAUAUUGAAAGCUAGUAUCCUGCAUCGGUUCUAACUAAAACUGAUGUUAGACCUAUUCCAAAUAGAACUGAUGUAGAAAAAAAACUUUUGCAGUCACUUGAAUAAGUAAUAUCAAUUAUAGUUUUUAACUGAUGCAAUAAAUGUGUUACAUAUAGUAGUACUGUAUGUAAGUAUUAAAGUUAGCAUGGAAUAGGGUAAUGUUAAGUGCACCGAUAUUAAAUUAAUUAAUUACCUGCUAACAUCAAAUGUCACCGAACACAAGUUUUCUUAUUAAUAUAUUUUUCUUGCCGAUUAAAACGACCAGUUAUCUUAUGUAUUGUUAUCGUCUAAACCUUUAAAUUAGCAUAAAACCUAAUUAACAUUAACCUAAAAUUAACAUUGGUAUGCACUUAACUUAUGCAAAACACUGCUCUAAAACCUUUUAGCUAGCGUUCACAUUUCGGUGUUGAACUGUUGACUUGAUCGACUUAAAAAAAUUAUCUGAAGUAUGACAAUAAUUUAACCGAUUCAUUAUGUUAACACAAAUAGUGACGACGACAUACUGAUGUUAAAUUUUACAAUAUAUUAAUACUACUUUUUUGUGAUAUAUAUUACUCCCUUCAUCUCAUUUUGUUUGACAUUUAAAGUUUUGACACUGAAAUUUAAAAAUAAAAUCAAUGUUUUAGAUUAAUUUUAUAAAAAAUAUUAAGCUAGCAAAUUCGAAAUAUAUUUCUUAUCUUUCAUAUUAAUCAGCUAGGUUAAUUAUCUCUCAUUUAUGUUUUCUUUUUAUUUUCUUACUCCACAAUAAAUGGUUAGUAAUAUAAUCACUAAGAAAAAACAUGUUUCAUUGAUAUUUUAACUUGACAAUCAAAUAAAACUUUUUUUUAAAAUGACAAAAAAAGGAAAUAUAGCAACUAAUUGCUUAGAUAGUAUAUUCUUCUCACAUAAGCACCAGCUCUGACAUGUAAAUAUACACAAAUACAUGUAUUUGCUAUUUAUGUAUUUUUUAAGAUUAUAAAUAUUUUUCAUUGGUCAAUUUUAUUUGUGUUAAGUAGAAUUAUUAUGAGUAAUAAAAAUUUUCCUCUGAAUAACAUAACUCUAACUAUUUCUAGGGUUAGAACUCUUGUACGCGUGUAUAUAUAUAUAUAUGAAGUCCACAUGGGUCGCGUAAUUUCUUGUUCGCUAAAGCACCAAUUGUUAAUUAGAAGCAUCUCGACUACAUUAUCAAUAUAUAAUUAUGAUGAUCGACAUCUGACAAGAUGCUUAAACAUAUAAUGUUAAAUUAUUGAUGCAAUAGUAACUACAAUCGUCACUGUAUGGGACAAUUCCUUUAGUUUAUCCAAUGAAAUUGGUUGAUAAACAGAAAGGCUUCUGUACAAUGUAUCUAUUAUAUGUAACAGUAAUUGUGAAUCAUUCAAAUGGUUACCUGCCAGUUGGGUCUAACAAUUUUCUUAUUGGUUCUAUAUGAUGACUAAUUAUUAGGCUAAUUAAUUAACUCUCUCUAUUCCAUUUUGAAAGACGUGUUUUAGUAAAAAAAAAAAAAAAGCAUUGUUAUUAUUUUGAUUGUUACUGUAUUUUAUAAUGUGAAAUAUUAGAUUUUUUUUAUUUCCUUAAUCAUUUACUGUAAAGUAAGAAAUUAAUUAAAAAAAGAGUAUUGAUAAGAAAAUAACCAAAUAAAUCAAAAAGAGUAAUAUUGUUGUGCUGAGAAAAUAGAGCAAGGUGUCAUUUUUGUUAAUAAAAACUUUUUUUCCUGAAAAUAUAUAAAUGUAUGAGUCUAUUUCGAUAAGCUUCUAUAAAAAUAUUUCUAGAAGAAAGAAAUAAUAAG
rnacentral:lncRNA from 1 species